rnacentral:lncRNA from 1 species
CCGGGGAUGAUGCAGCCGCGACCUCAGGUUUCGGCAGCUCCCGUGACUUACACACCCCCGUCCGGUCCGAUGCCGGGAGUGAGACCUCUCGGGCCUCCACCCCCAGGGCAAUUCGCUCCCCGCCCAAUGCCGGGGCCGCCAGGCGCACCUCCUCCAGGGAUGCGGCCUCCGGGGCAGAUGAUGCAAGGGCCCCCCGGACAAGGGCCUCCUCAAGGCUACGGGCAAGGUCCUCCUGGAGGAAGACCAAUGCCGCCUCCUCCCGGACCUCCUCCGCAGAUGUCUGGACCAGGGAUGGCAGGUCCGUAUGGACAGCGGCCGAUGGGUCCUCCUCCGAUGAUGCGCGGGCCUCCGCCAGGGAUGGGAGGGCCCGGGGGUCCUCCACGACCUGGAAUGCCCCCCGGCAUGCAGGGACCUCCAAGACCCGGGAUGCCUCCUCCUCCCGGUGCACCCCCGGGGAUGUAUGGGCCGCGGCCUGGGAUGCCUCCUCCUCAGCAACAGCCGCCGCCGCAGUGAGGCGAUGGGGGACACGGAGAUGGGCAGGAUACGAGGAAGACAAGCGAUUGUCAGCACGAGCUGCACCAGCACCACCACAGGUGGCGUGCAUGAGCACGAGAGAUCCAGCUCCAGCGCGAGGAGAAGAGAUGGGUAGAGGAGGCAGCGGUCCCUGGGGUAUAAUCUUAUUGCACGAUGGAGACGAAACGCAAGGGGCUAGGCAGGGGUCGGAGGAAAGGAUCCGUGGAUGUGGAGGGCUGGUGUAGAGUAAAGGCCGUAACCGGGACAACCUUCAGGUAGGAGCUUCACGUCGCUCGGUUGGGACGGUGCAAGAAGGAGAGAAUGAUGAUGUAGGAUGCAGAUUUUUGGGCGAGGGAAACUUGUGCUCGUUGUACUUUGUGUUUUGAGGAGUGGAUGCAUUUUGGAUAUUGUUACGUAACUUCUUUAGGUCUUGAUUAAUAGGAUUGAACUUAUUCCAAGGAUUUUAUUUUGUGAUUGACGUGUCUUGUUUUUUUUUCUAAGUGUCGGUAUUAGGAGAAUUUGUAUCAAUACUUUUUGCAGUCCAUGUUUAUAUGGUUUUGGAUGUUUGAUGUUAAAUAUUUUUUUUUAUUGUUUUUUUUUAUUGUCGUCAUUCCUGACGUUUUUGUUUUGGUAAUUUGCCGCGGUCGGUAGGUGAUGUAUUUUCUUGUGGUGGUGCUUUUUGUUAUCGAAGGAACGUCGAAAAGCUUGCUGUCUUAACUUUAACUUGCAGUGUUGUUUUAUUGUAGUGUUUGUGUAAGAUUGAAAGUUAAAUGAAAUUAAUAUUUUUGCUUAAGCAUUAUUUAGAUGAUUCAGGAAAGGUUGUACAUCCUACCUAUUCUUGGUCAGAUUUUCACGCAUCGUCUAUUGUUUGUAUUUAUCAACUAGUUUAUACCAAUUGUGGUCUUUGCAUUUGAGUAAUUAGUUCUAGAAACACCUAAAUUCUUGCACUUGAUGAUGUCACUUUUUGCAAAACAAUUGUACUGGUCUUACUUGCAAUCAAACCUGGUCAUGAGAAGCAUUUCAAUUAUUUUUUUGUAGAUCCAAAAUUAGUUUGGUGCUGAUUUUUGUUUUGGUUUUUUUUCCAUGUUUCAUCUCUUUUUGACAUGCAAGCUUCUUACCAAAACUAUUGUUCUUGAUUGGUAAUAUGACAUAAAAUAUGUAAAUUCACAACCAAAUUAUAUAGAAGUUUUUGGUAGUUAUAAUUGUUAGUGAAAUUGGAGCACCAAACAUGUUUUAAAAUAGUUAAAGAAGAGAUUCAUCUUUUAUUGAAUAGAAUACUAAAAAAAAUCCUUAUUUGUAUUUGUUUUUACAUAUGAUUAUCUUAGGAAUUAAUUGAUAAGUGUUUUAUUGAAAGUCCACUCAUAAUCCUUUUAAAUUAAUUUUAUUUUAGCAAUUUUUAGAAGUUAUGAUUAUAUUAUUUUUUUAAAUUGAGAUUAUAAAAAAAAAUUAGUGCCAUAAUAAAUAAUGAUUGCGAAUAAAAUACUAGCAUUAAUGUCUAAACUUGUUUAUAAUAGGAAAUAUUAUUGAAUGAAAUCAUAGAACAUUGGAUGUGCUUGUCAAAUGUGUUUAUUAACAUAAUAAUGGUUAAUAAUUUAGUACAUAGUUAUUUAUCUAAUUAGGCUUUAAUCUUAUCAAUUGUUAACAUUGUAUCUACUAUGCCAAAAACUUUAGGAUCUAAUAAUCUAUCUUUCAAUGCAUGUAUUUUUACUUCUUUGAUAUAUACUUUUAAUAAUCAUUUAUAUAAAUAAAUAAAAAAUUAUUUUAUAAGUUUUCAAUGGAAGUUUUUUUCAUUACAUUUGAUUCUACUAUUUAAUCUUAUGAUGAUGCUUCUUAAUGUUGACUAAGUUAUAAAAUAAUAUAGAAACAAAGUUCAAAUCAAUACAAGCACCAUUUGUUGUAUCUUAAAGUAAAGACUUGGAUUACAAUUAGUUACUUGGCCUUGUUAUUAAAAAACAUUAAGUAAACUCUUUAAAUUCUUGCAAAAAUUUAUACUUUAAAGAUAGUGAUGGCUUGUUUCAAACCAUUCAAUACAAACAUAAAGAAGACAUGGAAACAUAAGAUAAAAAUUGUAUUUGUUAAAAAAAAUAUUUAAAGCAAAUAAAAUUAUAGUUAGAAGUUAUUAAUCACAAUGAUUAAGAUAACCAUUGCCACACAUAUUAAUAACUCCUUAAAGGUGCCUAAUAACAAGAUAAAUUAAUAUAUUUUACUUAAAAGAUAGAUAUGCAAAAAUUUAGUCCAACAACAUGAUCAACUAAGUUUCUUAAUUAUAUGUCCAUGUUUAGUUAUAUGUUUAAUACCAACGUCAUUAUUAUUAAAUUUUAUUGAAACGAAAGCCAAACCUAUUAAAAAAGAGUUAGUUUGAAGAAAAUUAAUAAUGAUGCUUAAAAUUCUUAUCCUAUCUAUUAAAGAAGAAGGAAAUAUUGCUAAAAGCUUGUCUUAUAAGAUGAUAUUUAUUGAUAAUAUGGAUAAGUUAUAAUGGAUGUUAAUACUACUUAUGAAGAAGUAAUUAGAAAUAAGUAAAAGUAGAUAGAAGCAUAUUAGGUAGAUAAUAUCUCUUUAAAGAAACUUUGGUGAAGUCUUCUAAACAUAGAUUAGAUACUUAGCAUCCUAUAAAUAUGCUCUGUACCUAUAAAUACUUAACUCAAUUUUCUUAUUUUUAGGAAGACAUUUUAGAAGCAACAUACAACUUGAUGCUUUUAGGACACAAGUAUUGUGCUCCCUCAAAAGUUUCAGAAGACCACCUCGGUAAUAAGUAUAUAUAGAACUAAGAUUGAAACCAUUCUUUGUCUUGUCAACAUCUUUCUUAUAUUUGUCUCAAUUUAAGACUCUCUAAAUUCUUUGUAAUUAGCAAUAGCUAUUCUAAUCCAUUUUUAUUAUUAUAUAUAUAUAUAUAUAUAUAUAUAUAUAUAUAACAUAAGAUUGUAUUGUCUUUUUAGAAUUAUAUAUUAAUUUAUGCCCUUGACAAGAAUAAUGCCAAAUACUUAUAAAAGAAAAAUCUACAUAUUCUUAAAGAAUUUACUUUUGGAAAUUUGACCAAUUUUUUUCAACAUUGCAUUAUCAUGUGUUAUUAAGUUCAACUUAUUAAUUGAUGAUACUUUAAAGAGCUUAGAUGUAGUAAGCAUUGGUAGGUAUUUAAACUUAGUUUUUAACUUUGUCUCAUUUGAAAGAAAUAAAGGUAUAUUUAAAUAGAAAUUUAGUCAAUUGAUAACGGUUUAAAAUUUAAUAUUAUAAUCCUUCAAUGAAAUAAGAGAAUAUAAAAUUUUAUAAAAUUUUAAACAAAAGACUAAAAGUAAUUUUUAAUACUAGUCAAAAAAAUCUUUGAGAAUACUUAUAACACAUAUAGGUAAGCACAAUAUGAUGUAGAAGUUGAAAGGUGUAAAAUCAAAUCAUUUUUAUUGUAAGAAAAAAAUAUUAAAAAUAGUUUUCUAUUAUUAGAAGAAUAUAAUUUUAUUAUAAGAAAUGGCAAGUUUUUUUUAUCUAUUUUUUUACUUUAUAUUUAACAAAAACAUCAUUCUUUGCAUAUUAUUUGUAAUGCCAUUUGAUCAUACCAAGGUAGAGUUAUUAUGCAAUUUUAUAAAGAAAUAAUAAAUAUUAUUAUUUAUUAUACCAAAUAAGACAUGAUCUUUAAAGUUGCUUCUCUUAUGCUUCUAAAAUACAAUUUAAACACUAGAUUUUGGUACUCUACAAGACCAAAAGAUAGAAGAAAAAUCUUAGAUUAAAUUAAAAAAUAUUAACAAAAUUCAACUAUAACAUUAUUUGAUAAUAUCAACAAUGAUUUGUUUGAUAUACUAGCAAGUCUUUUUGUAAAUGGUGUUAGGAGUAUUCUAUCUUUAUUUUUUUUUAUUAAUAUUUAUUGAUUAUCAUGCUUAUUUCUAUUACAAGGUUUUAAAAUAUAGUUGUUAAUUGAAGGACAAUAUUAACUUCUACUAUGUUUUUUUAUAAUCCUUAUUGAUAUUUGUACAUUCAAAUCUUUGUUUCAUUGAUUGAUAACAAUGCAUACAACAUUUCUAAGGUGAUUUGUAAUUUUUUUGUUAUACUCAAGAUCUUAAAAAAAAUCUACAAUUCCACCUUUGAAAUAAUAAAGUCAAGAAAUUCAGAUUGAAUUUCAAACAAGACCAAGAAUACUUUGACAGUGGUAUUUUAAAAUACAUCAAGAGACUAAAUGGAGAAUAUUAUAAAUAUUUGAUUCUAAAGUAUUUUAAUUAAAUUUUUUAUUAAUCCAUUAAAUUUUUAAUGUUUUAUUAAUUUAUAUAAUACUUUGAUAGGUGUUAAUAUAAAAAAAAUUAAUAUAAAAAUAAAAAUAUUAAAUAAAUUUUUAUUAUUUUAAAUUUAAAUAUUUUAAAAAAGGUUUUUUUGAUAAGUUUUUUUAAUUAUCAUUUUUUAUUACAUAAAAAUAAAUAUUGAAUAAUCAUGUAAAAACUAACCUUUAUAAAGAAAUAAAAAAUAUAUCAAAAUUAUUUUAACAAGACAUGAUUAAACAUAUAUAUAAUUGUGGUUCUAUAAAAAUACAAAUUAAAGCUGUCAAACCUCCUAAAGAUUAUAUUUAUGAUAACUUAAAAUUUCACCAAAUAAAGAAUAUACCAUAUUAAGGGGCAUUUCUUGUAUUCUUUCUUCUAAAAGAAGAAUAUGAUACAACAACUCUACUUAUUACAAUGUAUUGAAGUGUGAUUUUAAAGCUAACCAAAUCUAGUGCUAAGUCUAUAAUUAUAUAACUUCUUUUGUUGCUUCUCUUACAAAAUGUGAUGUUUUUGUAGUUGAAAAUAUUUUAUUAUAAUAUAAAAUAGAAUUAUAUCUUAUAGAUCCAUCAACUAUUAUAAAAACAAUAGAUGUAAUAGAUUAUUUUUUUUCCUAUUAUCUAAUAAAAAUAAUAUCAAAAAAUCUUAUGAUAUUUAUUUUGUCAUAGUUAGUAUCAAAAAUAAUAAAAAUAUCAAAAAUAACUUAGAGAUAUAUUUUUUUAUAAAUAAUUUUUAUUUUUAAAAAAUAAAAAUAGUAUUGAUUAUAUAUAAUGUUAUUAAUUAGUUAUUUAUUAAAUAAACUAAUCUAUUUUUUUUCUUAAUAUUCUUUCAAGUUUGCUUGAGAUUAGCUUUAAAAUUACAAUAAAUGAGCUCAAUAAUAGUUGUAAUAUUUUAUUUGAUAUAUAAUUUAUUUUUCUUAUUUGUUUUUUUACAUAUGUAGCUUUAAAAAUCACCUUUUAUUUAACUUUAUCUAAAAUAUUCUAGUAUUUUUUAUAGAUUGUUUUACUUAGAAAUAAUAUUAUUUAAGUUAGUUUAAUAGGAUCUAAAGUAUUGAUAUAUUAAAAGAAGUAUCAAGUAACAUCAUAUGUGCAAAACACUUUGAAAUCUUAUAAAUUUAUGUUCUUGUCUUGAUAUCUUUAAUCUUUGUAUAUGCUUAUUUCUAUUUGAUUCAUUUCAUGUAUUAGAAAUAUAUAUAUAUAUAUAAAUCUACCUUAAAAAAAAAACCGUAACAAUAAUAAAAAAAUAAUAUAAUAAUAUUAAUAGAUCUAAUCAACUAUUGUUACAACUUUAGACAUUAGAGAUUGGUAUUAGAAUAGAUUUAUUUUAUAUUAGAAGAUGCAUACUUGAUAGAAUCAUUACCUAAAAAAUUUUUAAAAAAAGACAUUAAAGUGCUACUAUAGAUUUUUUUAAAAUUUAACUUCAAAUCUUGUGUAUAAAAAAUAAUCUCUAUUUUUUGAUAUAAAGAUGUUAUAGUAAAGACUAUAAUAAUUCAUUAUUAAAUAUAAUCAAUAUUUUAUUAUAAUUGGUAGAAAAAUUCAUAUUUAUAGCAAUUAUAAUAUUAUUUUUAUAUUAAAGCAUCAUAUUAAGUAUAAAUACUUGUCAUGAACAUCCAUAUUUACUUCAAUAAUUAUCUAAAUAAUAUAAAUAGGUAAAAAUAUGUAAAAAUAAAUAAGUUUGAUAAUAUCUUAUAGAGUAAUUUUUUAGAAGCUUCAUAGAUACAACUUCAUCUUUAUACGUAUUUAUAGGUGAUUGAUAGGUUAAAAACUUAGCCUAAAAGUUAGACAUAUAGCUUACAUAUAAGAAGCUUGUAUUACAAGUUGGACACAUGUUAUGUGAGUUAAAUACAUAUUGGAGGUCUUAUAGAAUGUUAUUACAUACCUCUUAGUUAGAUAGUAUAUAUAGAAACAAGAAUGAGGCCUUCUUCACUCUUGUCAUUUUUUUUUCUAAUUUAUAGUCUAAUUUCAAGGAAUUUUAUUUUUCUUAUUUUUUGGCAAUAGCCAUUUUAAUUUCUUUUAUUAUAUAUAUAUAUAUAUAUUAUUUUAUUUUAUUUUUUAUCAUCUUUAUUUAAAAAAUAUUUUACUUGUUUAUUUAUAUUCAUUAUAUUCUUAUUCUUGAAAAAUAUACAUAUAUAUAUAUAUAUAUAUAUAUAUAUAUAUAUAUAUACACUUAUAAUAUCAAAUCUUUAUCUUUUUUAAUUAAAACUAGAUUAUCUCUUUUUCUUAAUAAAAUAUAAGCAUAUUAGAAGUUAUAGAUUAAUAAUUACUAAACUAAUAUUAUUUUUAACAUUUUCUUUCUUUUCAAGUGAUUUCUUCUACUUAUCUUAAGUAAUAUUAAAUGUUUUCUUUUCUAUUAUAUUAUCAUAAUAGACUUUCUUAAAAUAAAGAGCAUAAUGAUAAAAAUACAAGUAUAAAUUAGAGAUAAUGCUUGUAAUGCAUUAACUAAACUUUCUAACACAAGGAUUAACAAGAUUAGGAAGAAGUGAAGAUACUGAGAUAAUUGGAGUUGCUUCAAUAUCUAUAUUAAAUCAUAUUACUUCUCUUAUGGUAGAACAUCCUUUAAAUAUUAAAGAACUAAGAAUUACCUUAUUCAAGAAGUUUGAUGGCACAAGAUCAAACUUUUAAAGAUUUAUCAAUCAAGUAUAAUUAGAGAUUAAAGUUUAAUUCCAUAAUUAUCCAACUUGAAGAUCAUAAGUCAGAUUUAUUAAAAUAUUACUUUUAAAUAUCUUUUAUCUUAUAUUUAAUUUUUUUUAAUGACAUGAUUCAAUAUUGGAUAAUUUCGAGGCUUUUUUUAACAAAGUUUUGGUCAUUAUAUAAAAAAUAAGAUUCCAUUUUUGUUACAAAUCAUAAGAUUUGUACUUAGCAAUAAUGCCAUUGAUUAGUAAUAUUAUAUAUUUUAUAAUUUUUACAACUUAUGAUUGAUAUUAAAUAAAAUAAUAUAAAUUUUAUUAGCCAAUUUUUUUACAAAUUAUAAUAUGAGGUAAAAAAAUUCAUGUUCAACUUACUUGAUCCUUAAAUAUUGAGUAAAGCCAUUAAUUUUGUUAUAACUAUGAUAAUUGGCUAUUUUAAUUUUAAUUUGAAAGUUGUAUAAGUUGGCUUCAACAUUUAUACAAUUCAAUAAUAAUACCAACAUCUUUUCAACACAUACUUUUGGAUAUAGGAGACAUGUAAAUUAACAUGGUAUGUUUGAAACCUCUAAUUAAAUAAGAAAAGAUUUUUUGUUUUUAAAAAAGAGUUUACUUAUAUUGUGGUAAAUUUAAGCAUAUUAUUCAAUAUUAUCCAAAAAAAAACUUAAUUAUAAAAUAAAGAGUAUAGUUGUCAAAGAAAAAAAUAUUUCAAAAAAUAGGUUUGUCUAACUAUAAUAGUGAUUGUACAAUUAGAAUCUUAUACAAUACUUAGUAAAGGUCCUAUUCUUUCUUCAAAAUCCUAUCUUUGUUCUAUAAUAGAUGUUAGUUUAGGACCUAAACACUAUAAAAACUUUAUCUUGCUAGGUUUCAAGCUUCAACUUAUUUUUUAGAUGGAAAGUUUGUUAAAAUUAAAUUUAUAUAUAUAGAAGUUAUAGAUAGUCAUUUAUUAUCUUUUAGAGAUAUUAUUCAUAAAAUCCUUCUUAUAGAAGUAACAAUUGAUGGUUAUAAUAUCUUUGUAAUAUUUAAUAUUUUAUAAAUCCCUCUCAAAUCUAAUCAUUUUAGAUUUGUCAUAGAUAAGAAAAUAUAAUCUAUAUAUAGAUUGAAUUUUUUAUAGUCUUAACUUUUUGCAAAGUAUAACUAAGAGUUUUAUCAAUCAAGUAGAAAGUCAUAAGUCUAAUAUAACUAAAAUCUUAUUUGUAUGUAUAAAAACUUUUUAAUAUGCUACAAAAGAUGGAUCAUCAUGUAUUAUUAUACUACACUUAUUCUUAAUAGUAGAAAGACUUCAAGUGGUAUUUUAAGCCAAUAGGAAGAUUAUCAAGAUAUUUUUAAGAAAGAAAUUAUGAAUACUUUUUUGGAUAAUUUUUUGUAUAAUUGCUUCAUUGACCUUGAAGAAAAGACUCAAAAACCUUUUGAAUCAAUCUAAAAUUUAUCACAAAAUGAGUUGAUUGAAUUCAAGGAAUAUAUUAAAGAGAACAUAGCCAAAAAUUUCAUAUGCCAUUCAAAAUAUCUAGCAAGAGCUUUUGUCUUGUUUAUAGAGAUAAAAAAUAGAUCAUAUCAAAUAUGUAUCAAUUAUUAAAGAUUCAACAAGAUUAUCAUCAAAAAUAGGUAUUUUCUACUUUUAUUAUAUAGAAUACUUGAUCAAUUCAAUCAAGCUCGGAUUUAUAGAAAAAUAGAUCUACAAUGAGUAUAUAAUUUAAUAUGCAUAAAAAAAGAAGAUGAAUGAAAGACUACAUUUCAAACCAAGCAUAAGUACUUUGAAUAUAAUGUUAUGUCUUUUGAACUUACAAAUAUACCAAUUACUUUUUAAUAUUUAAUAAAUAAUUUAUUUUUAGAAUUUUUGGAUGAUUUUAUUAUUUAUUAUCUAAACAACAUGUUUAGCUACUCUAAAAAUAUAUUAAAAUAUGAACUUCAUAUUUAUCAUAUAUUAUAAAAUUGACAUAUAGGACUUUAUUCUAAAAUAUAUAUAUAUAUAUAUAUAUAUAUAUAUAUAUGUAUUUUACACUAUAUAACUUGACUUUUUAAAAUACAUCAUUUUAAAUGAUGGCCUGAUGAUAGAUUUUAAGAAAGUCUAGACUAUUAUAAAUUGGAAGAUUUCAAGAAAAAUAACAAAUAUUUAAUGCUUUUUAAAAUUUUUUACUUAUUAUUAAAUCUACAUCAAGAACUUUUUUUCAAGUUAUAAUUCCAUUUAUACGUUUGAUAUAUAAAGAUAAACUUAAGUAAAAUAAAGAAGUUUAAGCAUUAUUUGAAGCUUUUAAGACAAAAUUUACUUUUGUACCAAUCUUGUAUUGCAUCUAUUCUUUUAAGAUAUGUUUUAUAGAAACAAAUGCAACAAAAUUUGCUUUGAAUGCAGUAUUAUUGUAAAUGGCAGUAGAUAAAAAAUUCCACCUUAUUGCUUUUCAUUUAAGAAUAUUUAAAAAAAUAAAGAUCAACUAUAAGAUCUACAAUAAAAAAAUUCUUGCAAUUGUGGAUUUCAAGAAUAGUGCUGUUACUUAGAAGGCACUUUAAAUCCACUGACUAUUAAUACAAAUCACAAGAAUCUUAAAUAUUUCAUGUCAACAUGUAUUUUAUAUCAUUUUUAAGUUUAUUAGAGAAUUUUUUUAUUAAGAUUUAAAUUCAAGAAUUCAUAUUAUCAUAGACACAUAUAUUUACAUAGAUAAGAAGUAUUAGGUAUAAAAUAAAUGUAGAUAGAUUUGAUAUUAUUUUAUAGCAAAGCUUUUUAGAAGCUUUGUAGAUCCAUAUUUGACUUUAUAUGUAUUUUUAAUUGAUUAGUAGGUUAGAAACUUGGCCAAUAAAUUAGUCACAUGUUGCAUGUUUUAGUAGCUUAUGAAAUAAACUAUUUAUGUGGCACACAUAUAAAAAAAACUUAUCUUGAAAGUUAGACAUGUAUUUUAUAAGUUGAAUACAUAUUGGAGGUCUUAUAGAACAUCAUCAUAUAGCUUCUAAUUAGAUAGUAUAUAUGGAGGCAAGAGUGAAGCCUUCUUCACUCUUGUCAAUGUUUUUUUAGUCUACAGUCUUAUUUUAAGAUUUUUUAGUCUUUUUUUCUUUUACAAUAAUCAUUCUAAUUUUAAUAUUAUAUUAAUUUUAAAUAAAUAUUUAUUUUUUUUAAGUGGCACAAGAAUGUAUUGAAUUUUUGGUUCUUUAAGAUUCAUAUUCUUGACAAUUUGAUAAGAAUGCUAAUUCAUUAUUUUUAUUUUAUUUUAAAAGUGAAUAGAUAAUUUUACUUCUAUUAUUGUAUUUUGAAGGUUUUAAACUUCCAAUUUUUAAACUUAUUGAAGAAAGAUAACUUUGAAGUUCACAUCACAUAGCAUCAGAUAAAGUUUAUAAGAAGGUUACACAGAAAGAAAGUAUGGAAUAAGAUAACUAUCACUUUCAAAAUCCAUUACUUAUAAUUGGAGGUUAUUGCCUUUAAUAAUGACUUCUAUCUUUAAUUUUUACAUCUAUCUAUAGAUAUAUUAAAUAUAUCUUUUAUAUCAACCAUAAAGAUAUAACUUUGGCAUAUCUUUUAUGCUCCUAGGAUCCUUUGCCAACUCAUUCAAUCCUAAUACCUUUUUCAAUAAGUAAUGUCUAUUUUUCAGUAAUAUCUUUGUCAAAAAAUUAGUAAGCAUAUCUUCCAUUGUACAAUAUUUCAUAUCAAUCACUUCCAUUUUAAUCUUCUUUCUUAUGAAGUGAUGUACAAUGUGAAUGUGCUUGAUUUUUGAAUGAUGCUUUAGGUUCUUUGGAAAACUAAGACAUCCUUGAUUGUCACAUUUCAUUAGAAUUUCUUCCAAUUGUACUACUUGAAUAUCUUUCAAAACUUGUCUUAGCCAUAUUGCUUCUAUUACACCAUAGCUUGUUGCUAAAUAUUCCACUUCUAUUGCAGACCUUGUAAUUAUUGAUUAUCUCUUAUAAUAUCAUAAAAUAGCUUUUACUUCAACAAAGAAUAUAUAUUCUAUGGUUAACCUUCUAUCAUUUACAUCUUUAAUCCAAUUAGCAUUAUAAUAACCAUGUAAAAUAAUGUCAUCAUCUUCAAAGCACAAUUUGAAGUGCAAAGUAACUUUUAAGUAUCUCAUGAUCUUUUUAUAGUUUUUUAAUGGAUUGGUCUAGCCUUAGACAUGUCACAACACUCAUUAUAUAUUUAAGAUCCAACUUUGUAUUAGUCAUUGCAUAUAUAAAUGAGUCUAUUGUUGCUUUGUAUAGAAUAUCUUGUACUUUAUCUUUAGUUUUAGCAAAUUCUUCAUCCAUGAGCUUCAUCAACUUUGAAUUGGCUUUAAAAAAGUAUUUCAAUAGACUUACACACUUCUAUAUUGAAUUAUUUCAAAUUCUCUUCAAUGUACUUAUUUGUCUCAUUGUGAUUUUCUUAUUGACAUGAUCUCUCACAAACUCAACUCUAAAAUAAUAGUGAAGCUCUUCCAAAUCAUUCAUCUCAUCUUCUUUUUUAAACUUUGCCUUCAAUGAAUUUAUCAUCUUUAAGAUAUUAAAAAAAAUAACCAAAUCAUCAAUAUAAAAGAUGAAAAUCAAUAAGAACUUAUUUGCUUGCAUCAUAUAUAUGGAAUGAUUAGCCUCACUUUUUAUAAAUCCUUCAUUUAUAAAAACAAAUAUAAAUACAUUGAUAAUAUAUCUUUAGUGAUUGCUUGAGCCCUUAUAAAGAUUUCUUCAAUUUACAAACAAGAUGUUGUUUGUGUUUUUCAAAAAAUUCUUAAUAUUGUUUCAUGUAGAUAUCUUCUUUUAACUUUUCAUUCAAAAAAACCAUCUUUACAUCUAUUUGAUGCAUCUCUAAGUCCAUUGCUUCUUCAAUUGUCACAAUUGUUCUAAUGGUGGUAAAUUUGAUAAAAAAAAAAAAAAUGUCUCAUUAAAAUUAAUACUAGCAACUUAUAAGUAUCUUUUGGCAAUUAAUUUAGCCUUGUAUCUCAUAACAUUGCCUAUUGUAUCUUUUUUGGUUCUAAACACCUACUUAUAAAUAAUUGAAGAUUGAUUUUAUAGAAGUUGAGUUAAUUUCUAUAUUCUAUUAUCUAUGAGUGAUUUUUAUUCUUCUUUCAUAGCUUUCUUCUACUUCAUAGCAUUAAUAGACUUCAUUGCAUCACACAAAUUCAAUCAAUAAAAAAAAUUGAAAAAUUAGCAUGUUCUUCACUUCAAAAAAUACAUGAUUUUUCUACCAUUCAAAAAGUUGUUUUUUUUUUCUUUUUCUUUUUUUUUUUCUUUUAAAGAAUAUAGCUUUUUAUUUAUUGAAGAUUCACCUUCAUGCACUCUAAGAUUUCUUACAAAUUUCUUCUAUCUUAAAAACUAUCUCUUUACAUUUAAAAUUUGGUACUCUUCAUCAUCAUCAUUAUCUUCAACAUCUUCAUUGUCUUCAUUGCUUGUUUUAGGAAUUCUAGGUAUACUUUGGUCUACCUUCUUUCGCUCUUUAUUUUAAUUUAUAUUUCCACCAUCUCCAUUGUCAUCAUCUUCUUUUUCUUUUUUUGCUGAAAUUAAAGAUGUAUCUAUAAAUAAACCAUUAUUUCCACUUAGAUAUAUCUCCAAGUAUUUUAGAACAUAAGAAAGCUCCAAAAACAUGGAGUUCUUUCAUACUUUUGGCAUUCAAAUGACUAAGUCAUUGAUGCCAAAUUCCAAACUUUUCUUGAUUUUGUAGAAAUCCAAUAAAUGCCAUCACUUCAUUUUUAUUGACCUUCUUAUUAUUGAUGAAGUAGAAGUUGUCAUUUUUAAAGUCUUUGGCAAUAUCUUGUCCAUCUAAUAUCUUCACAAAAUAUCCGUUCAUAUCAAAUUGAACUAUAUAACUAUGUGAUACAAGUUUUCUUACCGAAAAAAGAUUCUUCUUCAUCUUUGAUACAUGUAAGACUUCCUUCAAUUUGAUCUUCUUGAUUUGGUCCUUUCUAAUAAUCUCUACCACAACAGAGUCUAUUUCAAUGGCUUGUAUCAUACUAUUGUCUCUUAACCAAACUAUUGUUACUGGAAUAGUUUCAUAAGUAUCAAAUGAAUACUUGUAUGAUAUGAUGUACUUAAUAGCACUCGAAUCUAUAAUCCAUUCAAAUAUAGCAACCAUAGAGGCUCUUUCAUAUGCCAUGAAAGAACAGUCAUCUCGACCUAAGUUAUUAUAAACAUUGUUUGUAUUCUUUCUAUCUCUUUUUUUAAGCUUUAUAGCAAUUUUUUUCAAAAUGACUUAUCUAGAAAAUAGAAGUUGAAAAGGUUCAACCCUCUUUCCUAUAUUUAUAAGAUUCUUUGCUAGCUCCUAUGUGCAUUCACUAAAAUUGUAUCUACGCUAAUGAAUAAGAUAUUUCAACAUAAUUUGGAGCAACCUUAAAUUUAAGACUUAUUCCAUCUCAAAUUCUUGAUACUUAUUCAUUUUUAUAAGAAAAUAUGGAAUUUUUCUUUUAUUUUUGAAAUAUUUACUAUUUUAUAUAGCUCAAGAAUAUGAUACAAAAAUUAUGUAUAAUAUUUAAAAACUAGAUAAGAACUAUGAAUUAUAUUAGUUUAUAAUUUAUAUUUUUUUUAUCAAACAUAAAUUUUUUAAAAAUGAUUAAAAUUUAGAAUUGAUUAAUUCAUAAAUUUUUAAACUAGAAUAAAUAUUAAUAAAAAUAUAUUUAAAAUAUAUAUAUAUAUAUAUAUAUAUAUAUAUAUAUAUAUAUAUAUAUAUAUCCUAUUAGCAAGAAAUAUUGUAGUUAAAAAAAACUAAGUUUGUAUAAGAAAAAAAUAGGAUUUGAGAUAAUUAAUUAUUAAAAUAUCUAUUCCAUAUAAUUUUUUUUUAAAAAAAAUUAAUAAAUAAAUUUAAAAAAUUUUUGAAAAAAAAAAAAUUAUAGUUUUUAAAAAAUAGAGAUUUAAAGAAAAAAAAAAAAAAAAAAAAAAAAAAAAAAAAAAAAGAUUAGGCAAUAAGUUUAUAGGGAGAAGAAUUGAAUCUUUGGACAUCAAGUUGUAGCUUAAGGCUUGUAAAGUUGAAUAGAUGAUAAGAUGCUUUAGUGGCACGAAUGAGGUCUUGAAUUUAACGCUCUAUGAUCAUACAUGGAAAUUAAGAUAAAAGAAUAUUUUUAAAAAAAUUUGAAUUUAUUUAUUAAAGAUAUCUACAAUAUUGACUCCAAAAUGCUUGCAUUAGGAGAUUUUGUUGGGUGACAAAAGCACUUAUUGCCUAUCAAUAAGAGCAAAGAAUCUCUUUUAAUAAUAGUAAGAUAUAUGAUACCUACAUCUUCUAUAUAUUCAUAUUUUUGAUAGAUUGAUAUGUAGCUUCUCCUAAAAAGGAAGAAAGCAAAAGUUAGUGGUGGCUAAUAUAAAAUAGCAUGAAUCCUCUGAAAUCCUCAAUUCAAUUUUUUUCUUUCAAAAUAUACAGAUUUUAAAUAAAAAAGAAAAAAAUUAGCUUUAGGGUUUAAAAGUAGGAUUUAGAAUUUAAGAUUUAAUAUUUUAAAUAGAAUUUAGAAUUUAAAGUUUGGAGGUAGAAUUUAGGAUUUACGAUUUAGAAAUAGAAUAAGUUUUAGAAUUUUGAAAAGGUGGCAACCUUCUUAGGAGAGAGAUAUAAAAACUCCCUAAGGAGGUUUUUGUUUUCUUAUAUUUUUGAUUUGCAAACAUUUAAUAAAGAGAUUUAUUGAUAAUUUGAGAGGGAAGAAAAAUUACAAAAAGUUCUUAUUUUAUAGAAUGUUGUGUAUAUUUUGAAGUUAUAAGAUUGAAGCCUCUGAAAUGCAUCAUCGAAAACCAAAAAAAUAAAAAAAAAUAAGAGUAAGAGGGCAAAGCAAUGUUGUACCACAUCACUCCAACCGAGCAAGAAUAAAAUAAGAAGAAGGAGAAUACUACACCAUAGUAUCUCUACCGCAUGAAGGAAUUGGAAAAUUUUUAAAAUACUGGGAACUGUUAUCGGGGUAGAGAGAAUUUAUCUCAAGAAAGCACUAGGCUCUUCGCUGUUACUAAUUGCUCAAUCAAGUCUUGAAAGAAAAAAGACCAAGUUUAUAGCACUAGGCUCUUCGCUGUUACUAAUUGCUCAAUCAAGUCUUGAAAGAAAAAAGACCAAGUUUAUAUAUAUAUAUAUAUAUAUAUAUAUAUAUUUCUAUGUCACUUUUAGGAGCAAUUAUAUCAAAUAUAUUAGUGUUAAGUUUCCAAAAAUAUCCAAAUAUGAUUAAAAAAAAAAAAAAACAAAAACAAAAAAAAAAAAAAAAAAAAAAAAAAAACUCUAAAUCCUUAUAUAUCCUUAUGAGGUAUUAAUCUUGAACUUCAACAACUCAUAUCUUCCAAUUGGACUAUUCGAACAUACUCAAAUUUUACAUUAAGUACUGAUAUACUUCUAAAAAACUAUGAUAAUAAAUUUCAAUUGCAAAUUUUCCGUGGAUCUUAAGAUAUCGCUAAAAUCCUAACAGUGGCUUCAAACCUUAGUUUUUGGUACACUUGAAUGUAAUUUUCUUCAUAUCUCACAAAUUAAGCAUUCAAAUACUACAAAAUUUAUGUGUAUAGCUUUUUAACACAUUAAUCUACCUUGUCUAAAAGAUUUGAGCCAAAAAUUCGUCUAAAAACGUAAGAUAUGGCUUCAACCAUUACUAUGAAUAAAAUCACCCACUUACUACCUUUGAUUUUGAUGUGUUGACUUCAAUACUCUAUAAUGUCUUUAUCUAAACUCCAAAUAUAGACAUUCUUUUAUAAAAGAUGUAAGUCAUGAAAUCUUUGUUCUAGUCAUACUUUUGGAUUUCUAAAAACCACUGUAAAACUCUUUGUAUACUCAAUAGAGCAACAAUAUAUCUUAAAAUAAUACCUUAACUUCAAAUGGCUAUAUCUUUUUCAUCCUAACUCUAAAUUCAUUAAUUUUGGUAUCCAAAUUGUAUCUCAAAUCCUAAAAUUUGCAAUCCUAUCUUUGGAUUCUCAAAUGCCCCUCUCAGUUUGCCAAAAACUCUUCUUAUGGUCACAGAUCGCCUCUUAAAAGGCUACUCAACCAAUAGGGAUGAAGAUCCCUAUUCUUUGCCUUCAUCUAACCAUGCCUUGCUUUCAUCCCUCCCAAUAAGCCUCUUACUAGUUUAGAUUUUUAUUUUUAGACUCUAAUCUCCUCUCAAGGCUUCAUAUUGAAUAUUUAGGUCUUAUAAUUUUUUAAAUGCCAUAAUCAAAAUAGAUAAAACUCAAAAUAAAGUUUCUUAUAUCCACUCUCUUUAAAUUAAUCUAUUAAUUAUGCUAACAUAUACCAAGACUUAUGAACAUAUUAUAUGUUCUAACUAAUUUUUACAUACUAUCAAAAAUUACAGUAUGACAUUGUGAAGCAUGAGAAAGAAAGAACAAGAGAGUUAGGAAUCUGGGUAGAUGGACCCUUAUCAACAAAGAGACUGCUGCCAUUCAGGGACAGCCACUUGCCACCUUAAUCAUCUUUUUUUUUUUUUUUUUUUUUUUUUUUUGUCCUUCUUUAUUUCCUCCCUUUUUUCUUUCUUCCUUUCUUUCUUUUUUAUUUCUUUUGAUCUUUUUAUUUAUUCAUAUUAUAUAUAUAUAUAUAUAUAUUUAUUUUAAAAAUUAUUAAUAAAAUAAGUUUUUUUUCUUUAUUUUUUCUUUUGACAAUAAGUAAUAUUUUCAUUGGCCCUUAUUUCAUGUUAGCUACAAAAACCUAUUGAUCAUGGAAUUUUGUCCUAAUAAAUUCUAUUCAAGUUACAUAUCUACUAUUAGUAAUCUAUUUUCUAUUUUUAAAAAAAAUUCUACUACUAACUCAUCAAUUUUGUGGUUUUAGGCACAAUAAGUAUAUUUUUUAUACUAAAUAUCCAAGUGAGUCAAUUCAAUAGCUCAUAAAGUUGCGGAUUACUCUCUUUUAUACUAAUAUUAUUCUUAUUAUUUUCUUUGUUCUCAAGUCUUUUCUUUUAUUUAUCUUAAGCAAUAUUAGACAUUUUUUCUUUUUCAAGUAUUAUCAUAGCAAAGCUUUUUGAAUGAAGAAUGCAAUAGCAUAAACACAAGAGUAAUUUAAGAAGUUAAUGCUUAUAAUGCAUUAAUUCAAUUUAUCACUAGAAAGUACAAUAAGAAUAGCAAGAAGCUAAGAUAUAGAGAUGAUUGGAGCUGCUUCAAUAUUUGUAUCAAAUUAUAUCCCUUCUUCUAUAGUGGAAUAGCCUUUCAGUGUUAGAGAACCAAGGAUUGCAUUGUUCAAGAAGUUUGAUAGCACAAGAUCUAAGUUUUGAGGAUUUAUCAAUUAAGUACUUCUUGUGAUUGAACUUCAACUCCAAAGCAAUCUAAUUUCAAAUUUUCAAGUUAGAUUCAUUGAUACACUUCUUUGAGAUUCAACCUUAUUAUAGUUUUUUUUUUUUUUUUUAAAAAAAAAUUCUAAUAUUAAAUAAUUUGGAGGUUUUAAUAGAAUUUUAAUUCAAAUAUGGAAAACAUGAUGCAAUUUUUAUUGCAAUCAAAAAGAUCCAUAUUUUAUAAUAAGAUAAUUAAUUAGUAAUAUUAUGUGCUUCAUAAUUUUGAUAAUUUAUAACUAAUAUUAAAUAAGUUAAUGCUGCGCUUGUUAGCCAAUUUUUCUACAGAUUGUAAUAUGAGGUGAAAAAAUUAAUGCUCAACUUAUCUCAUUCUUAAACAUUAAGUCAAGCAAUUGACUUUGUUGUAAAGUAUGACGAUUGACUUUUUGAAUUUUAAUCUACAAGUCACAUAAGUGCACCUUAAUGUUAUUAUAAUUCACCAAUGUCUCCUCAACACAUACAUUUGAAAGUAGAGGAUAUAUAGAUUGAUGUAAUACAUUUUAAAUCUCUUAUUAAGCAAGAAAAGACUUGUUGAUAUUAAAAAAUAUUAUGCUUGUAUUAUGGAGAAUCUAAGCACUUAACACAACAUUUUGUAAAGAAGCAACACAACUACAAAAUAAGAAGUACUGUUGUCAAAAAAGAUAGUAUGUUGGAAAAUGAAUUUGUUUAGCUACAAUAGGAAUCAUGCAGCUAAAACCUUAUACAAUACUUAGUGAAGGUCCUAUUUUUUCUUUAGAAUUCUUUCUUUGUUUUAUAAUAAAUAUUAUUUUAAAACCUAAAUAUUACAAAGCUUCUACCUUCUUAGAUUUAGGAAUCUCAACAUGUUUUUUAGAUGAAAAAACUUGCUAAAAGACAUAGCAUAUCUUUAAUAAAGAAAACUAAGUUUGUUCAUAUAGAAGUCAUAGAUGGUCAUUUAUUGUCUUCAAAAGAUGUUACUCAUGAAAUCCUUCCUAUAAAAGUAACAAUUAAUAGUCAUAAUAGCUUUGUAAUAUUUAAUAUUAUUAAAUCUCUCUCUAAUUUAGUUGUUUUAAAUUUAUCAUGGCUAAAAAAAUAUAAUUCCAAAUUAGAUUGGAUUUUUCAUAGUCUUAGCUUUUUUGAAAGUAUAAUUAAGAAUAUAUUUAAUCAAGUAGAAAGUCAUAAGUUUAGUAUAAUUCAACAUGUAUUUGUAGAUGUAAGAACUUUCUUGUAUAUUAUAAAAGAAGGAUUAUCUUAUAUCAUUUAUGCCACACUUAUUUCUAAUAAUGAAAAGACUUCAAGUAGAAUUCCAAAUCAAUAUCAAAAAUUUUAAGAUGUAUUUGAGAGAAAAAAUAAAAAUAUUCUUUAAAAACAUCAUUUCUAUGACUGUUCAAUUGACCAAGAAGAAAUUCAACCAUUAUCUAGACCAAUCUAUAGUUUCUCACAAAAUAAAUUAUCUGAAUUCAAAGAAUAUAUAAAAGAAAAUAUGGCCAAAAAUUUCAUACACCAUUCCAAAUCUCUAUCAAGAGCUCUAAUUUUAUUUGUGAAGAAAAAAGAUGGAUCAUUGUAUAGAUAAGUCAAUUAUCAAAGACUCAAUAAAAUCACCAUUAAGAAUAGGUACUCGCUAGCUUGAAUAUUUGGAUUUCUUGAUCAAUUGAAUCAAGUUAAGAUCUAUAUAAAAAUAGAUCUACAAUGAGCAUACAAUCUAAUAUACAUAAAAAAAAAAAGAUGGAUGGAAGACUAUGUUUUAAACUAAAUAUAGAUAUUUUGAAUACAACAUCAUGCUUUUUGGACUUAUAAAUAUACUAGUAGCUUUUCAACAUCUAAUGAAUGAUAUAUUUUGAGAAUUUUAGAUGAUUUUAUUUUUUUUUACCUAUACAAUAUCUUAAUUUAUUCUAAGAUUACAAAAAAAUAUAAAUUUUAUGUUUUUUGUGUAAUAUAAAAACUAAGAGAUACAAGACUCUAUGCUAAGAUAAAAAAAAGUGUAUAUUUCAUACUAUUUAAGUUGACUUCUUAAAAUACAUCAUUUCAAUUGAUGGACUUAUUAUAGAUCCUGAAAAAGUUCAAACUAUUAUAGAUUGGAAGAUCCCAAAAAUAAUAAAAGAUGUCCAAUAUUUUUUGGAAGUUGCCAACUACUAUAAAAUCUUUAUCAAGGAAUUCUUUCAAGCCGUAGCUCCACUUAUACAUUUGAUUUGUAAAGAGAAAAUUCAAUGGAAUCAAGAAGCAAAAGUAAUAUUUGAGCCUUUGAAAAUAACCUUUAUUUUUGCACCAAUCUUACAUCACAUUGAAUUUUUUAAGCCCUUUUUCAUGGAAUUAGAUGUAUCAGGCUUUGUUUUGAGUGCCAUAUUGUCACAAAUGAGAACACAUAAUAAACUUUAUUUAAUAGCUUUUUAUUCAAGAAAAUUUUUAGUAGCCAAAUCAACUAUGAGAUUUAUAAUAAAGAAUUUCUUGUAAUUAUGGAUUUAUUUCAAGAAUGGUGCUAUUACCUAGAAAAUACUUUUAAUCUAGUCAUAGACUAUAAGAAUCUUACAUAUUUUAUGUCAAUACAUAUUUUGAAUUGCUGUCAAGCUUGUUGGAGCAUGUCUUUCUCAAGAUUUGAUUUCAAAAUUACUUCUUAAUCCAAAAAAAUAAUAAGGUAUAUUAGACGCCCUUUUUAGAUGUUUUAUUAUACAUCUAAAGAAAAAAAUGUAACUUUUAAUCAACAAAGAAUACUUUUCUUAAAGCCAAAGCAUUUUCAUCUUGGAGUAAAAAAAUCAUCAUUGACUUUUGAUCCAACCUUUGCCAAAUAAAUUCAAUCAAAUAUGUCUUUUGAUCUUCUUGUUUAUAAUAUCAAAAAUCCUUCUUUCAAGUCUCAUUAUACUUUUAAGUUGAAGUUCAAAAAUAAUCUACUUUAUUUCAAAAGAUGCCUAUAUAUUCCAAAAGGAGAAGCACAUUCACAUGUUCUUCAAACAUGUCAUGAUUUUCAAGUAGCCAAAUAUUUUGGAUACAAUAAGAAUUUAGAGCUUAUAUCCAAAGAUUUUUGGUGGUUACAACUGUAGAAGGUAAUAAAAGACUUUGUUCAAUCAUGUGAUGUUUAUUCAAGGUAAAAAAAUCCUUAUUACUAACUCUAUGGACUUCUCGAAUCAUUACCUAUAUCCAAACAACUAUGAUCUUUUAAUUCUAUGGAUUUUAUUAUAGUAUUUUAUUAUAAUUAUUUAUAGUAUAUAAAAAUUAACUAAAAUAUAUAAUAUAUUUAUAAGUAUUGAUGUACAUUAAAGUGAUUAGUAAUUUAAUUUAAAAAAAGAUGUAAAAAAUUUUAUUUUAAAAUUUAUUUAUGUUGAUUAUAGUAUUUAAAUUACAUGGUGUCAUAUUAUAUGUCAUCUUGUUUGGGAAUGCACUGAGCAUCUAACUAUAGAACGUGGAAUUAUGUUUUAUUAAUAUCUAAGAAUCCUAAUAUGUUUCAGUCUUAUAAAAAAAAUGUGAUUUGAACUUUAAUUCAAAAGUACUUAAAUUCAAUAUAAAGUGCUUGAAGAUAUUCUUCUUACUAAUCUCAACCAUACAUAAACUCCAUUUGCCUUAUUACUUUCAUAAUUAGGUGAUUUUGAACUUUUUUUACAAGCCUUUGUCCUAAUCAAUAAGCUUUAGCAAGUUGUAGCUUCUACUCUAACCAUUUAUUUGAAGCAAAAUUUUGAACAAAAAUACUACUAUAAGUCUUUUGUGUAUUUAAAAGCAUUCAUUCCAAUCCAACUUACAAAUCGUGAGAAAAUGUCCAAAAACCACAUUGAUGUUACUUAGUUGUCAACUUGAAAGUUGAUACAAAUAUUUCACUAGUGAUUUCUUCUUCUUCAAUUGUUAAUUUUAACUCAAAAUUGGUGUGUAGCUUUAUCUUUAAGUCUUCUAAUACUAUGCCAAAUUUCACCUUGAUUUAAUUAAUAGAUCUUUAGAUAUCAUAGAAAUCCUAUCUAAGUCCAAACUGCCAACUUUUGAUAUCUUCUUGUUCCAAAACCAAGUUAUCUUUCAAUUGCACCAUUGGAUUAUCAUAAAAUUUUACACAUAUUUAAUACAUCUAAUUAACUAAUUAUUUUCAAAUUUUGAAUCAUAGAUGUGACACCAAUUUUUUGAACUAGUUAAGAGUUCUAGCCUUAAUUGUAUUGCAUAAAUCCCAUGUUGCCAAUACAAACUCUAACUUUGAAUAUCAAUUGCAAAGUCCAAUCAAAUCCUAAAAAAAAAGUCUUAUCUCUCUAAAACAAGUUCUAAGUUAGCUCUCAAAUUCUAAUCUCCGAUCUUCAAAAUGUCCCUCUAUUAUGCCCAAGGUGGUUGUUUUAAUUGCCAAAGGACUAAUUUUGAUCCUAUCUUACAAACGAUCGAUUCCCAGGAAUCAAUCUAAUCUAUCCUAGUGAUUUUUUAAUCCAGCUCUAUCCUCAACUUAAUCUUAAUAUCUACCAUAUUAAUUAUUUACCUCUUCUAAUCUAAUUUUACUAAUUUAUGAUCUUUUCAAGGUAGUAAAAGAAUCUCUAUAAUUUAGAAGAUAAAAUUACUAAUCAACCUUCAACCUACUAACUAUUAAAACAAAAAAAAUAAACUAAGAGGCUUUUAUAAAAGCCAUGUUUAAAUAACUUGAAUUAUUAAUGAUCCAAGAUAAUUAGAUAUUUUAUUAGAAAUUCAAUUUUGAUUAUAUUAUUACUAUAUAAUCAUAUUAUAUUAUGACAACGAGAUUUAGAUAUUUAGUAUAAAAUUUUAGGAGAAGAUUGGGGCUCAAAGAUGAAGAUUCAAACCUCUAAGAAACUUAUUUGGAAGGAUGAAAGUAAGGUAUUGAUGGAUGAAGAUAAAAGAUAAAGAUCUUCAUUCUUAUCGAUUGAAGGCCAUGCCUAAUAUGCAUUAAGCAAGUUGUAUGCAACCAUAAGAAAGAUUUUGGUGACUUUAGAAGGAGAAUUCAAAAAUCAAUAGUAAGAAUUGUAAAGUUUAGGAUUUAAGCUACAAUUUGUAUGCAAACUUUAGAAUAUUAGGAAUUAGAAUAAUGAAGUUAUAGCUAUUUGAAGUUAGGGUGUCUUUUUAAGAAAUAUUAUUGUUCUUUUGAAAAUACAAGGAUUUUUAUAAUAGAUUUUGGAGAUAAAAAGAUAUAGCUACAAGAGUGAUUUCAAGAUCUAUAUCUUUUGUGAAAGAAUUUUUGCAUUUAGAAUUUGUAUGAAGAAGUUGAAUAUUGAAGAUAGCACAUGUAAUUCAAAGGUAAUAAGUGAGUUGUUUUAUUGAUAGUAAUGGUUAGAGCCAUAUCUUAAGUUUCUAUAUGCAUUUUUAGCUUAAAUUCUCUAAAAUUAUAUAUUAUUAGAUUAAGAAGCUAUAUAUCAAAAUUUUAUGGUAUUUGAAUACUUAUUUUUUGAGAUAUAAAGAAAAUUAUAUACAGGUGUAUAUAAGCAAGGGUUUGAAGCUAUUGUUAGGAUUUUGGCAAUAUCUUAAGAUCUAUAAAAAAUUUGUAAUUAAAAUUUGUUGUAGUAAUCUUUAAAAUUACAUCAAUACUUCAUGUAAAAUUUUGAUUUUUUUGAACAAUCCAAUCAUGAGAUAUGAGCUUUUGAAGUUCAAGAAAAAUUCACCUUAAGGAUAUAAAAAGUUUUAUAAUAUUUUUAUCAAAUUUUUUGUAAUCUUUUCUACUUAAGACUUAUGUAUUGAUAUAAUUGGCCUUAUAGGGAUAAUUUUAUAUAUAAACUUAGAAUUUUUUAUCUUGAGACUUGGUUGAACAAUUAAUAAUAGCUAGAAGCCCAAUGCUUUCUUGAGGCAAAUUCUCUCUACAUCGACAACAGAUUUUUCAAUAUUAGAUUUGCAUGUUUUUAUAUUCGGGAUAAUAGAUUAUUUUACCAAGAUAGAAUAUUUUGUACCAUGUACAAAAUCAUAGGUAAAAAAAAAAAAAAAAAAAAAAAAAAAAAAGUUUUUUCUUAAAAAUAUAUAUUGCUAUAAUAGAUUAUCUAAGGAUAUUACAUCAGAUAGGAAGACUCAAUUUAUAUCAAAAUUUUGGAAAAUAUUUUUUUAGAUUUUAAAGAUAGAUAUAAAGCUAUUUUUGGCCUUUUAUCUUAAAAUUGAUGAAUAAGUAGAGUAUAUAUUUGAAAUAUACCAUCAACUAUUAACAAGAUGAUUGGACAAUUUUUUUGCCAUUAGUAGAGUUUUUCUAUAAUAAUAUGGUAUAUUAUUCUAUUCACCAAAUACCUUUCUUUACUAAUUAUGGUUAUUAUCUACAACUUGAUGCUUUUGACUUUUCAAAAGUUGAUAAUUCUGCAACAAAAGAUUUAGCAAAUUAAUUGUCAAAGCUACAUACAACAAUGAAGGUACAAUUAAAAGGUACUCAAAAACCAUAAAAGAUACAUGCACAUGCUUAUUACAAGGAAAAACCACAAUUCAACAUAGAUGACAAGAUAUAAAUACUUUAUUGUAAUAUCAAGACAACUAGUGCUUGUGAUAAGUUGGACUAUUAUAAGCUUAAACCUUUUUUUAUUUAUGAAUAAAUCAAUUCAGUUGCUUAUUGAUUAUAUCUACUAGAAUCAAUAAAAAUCUAUUCCAUAUUCUAUGUAUUUUUUCUUCAACCAUACAAGACAAUGAAUAUAUCAAGAAAAAAAAACAUGUGCCACUUCCUCCUAUAGAAGUAGACAAUAAUGAAGAAUUUGAGAUAAAAGAAGUUUUAGACUUAAAGAGGUACGAAAAUAGGUUGGAAUAUCAUCUUUCUUGACAUGGAUAUGAUAUUAGUGAAUGUAAAUAGGAGCCAAUAAAGAAUCUUGCAAAUGCAACAAAGAAGGUUGAGGCUUCUUAUCAACAACAUCUAUCAAAACUUAGAUAAUGAAUAGCAAAUCUUUGCUAUAAAAGAAAUAAGUUCAAGAAAAUAUAAUAUUCUACCUUCUAUCCUUAUUUAUAGCUUCUAUAUAUAUUGUGGCACUAAGAAGAUGAAGAACCAAUAACCAAUGGAUUCAACUCAAGAACUAUUAAUUAUUAACUUUUCAAAUAAAAUAUUAUGAUUGUUUCAACCUUUGAGAUAAAGAUCCACAAGAAUGACAUAUUUUUCUUCAAAUAGAUGGCAAGAUAUAAUAUUUUUGGUAUCAAGACCUUAGAAGAGACUUUCAAUGUUUGAUGAUUUUAUUACAAGUCGGAAUAACUCCUAACAAUGUUUCAAAUAUUUUAUUUGAAGGAAGUUAUAAAGGCCUCAAUAAUAAUUAAAUAAUAGGGUGGUCUUUUUGCCUUAAUGUAGGAUAUUAUCAAUGGUUGAGAGGACUUAUCAACCAUCUUCAAAGAAAAGAAAGAUUAGACUAUGUAAUAAACAUAAUUCAUCAUAUUUUAAAUUUUUUCAAUAUAUGAUGAUUGUACUUUAUAGAAUUCAUUCCUAUAAGGAGAGGUAAUGAUACAAGCACACAUACUUACUCUAAUAAUUAUUUAUAUGGCUAUGUAGAAGUAAAUAAAAGUAGAUAAAAAUAAAUUAAUUUUAUAAUACCUUCUAAAGAAGCUUCUUGAAAGCUUCAUAGACACAAUUUUGACUUGAUACAUGUUUAAAAUUAAAUUUUAGAUUAGAAACUUGGCCAAUAAAUUAGCCAAGUAUCACACAUGUGAAUAGCUUGUGGAACAAGCUAACUAUGUAGCAUUCACAUAAAAACUUAUCUUGCAAGUUUAAAUAUAUAGCUUACAAAGUUAAAACAAGUUAGAGAUCUUAUAGAAUAUUGCCGCGUAGCUCUUAAGUGGAUAAUAUAUAUAGAAACAAGAGUGAAGUCUUCUUCACUCUUUUCAACUUCUUACUUGCUUUAGUCUAGAUUCAAGAUUCUUUAAUUUUCUUAUCUUUUGAUAAUAGCCAUUUCAAUUUUCUUUUAAUAUAAAUAUUUUUUUACUUCUAUUUUUUUAUACUUCUUUGAAAAAAGUCUCAUAUGGUUAUUUACAUUCAUAAGAUUCUUGACUUGACAAAAGCUUUUCGGAAGCUUCUAUAGAAAAUAUUAUGAAAUUAAUCUAUUUUUAUUUAUUUUUACUUAAUUAUAUAGGUAAUUAUUAGAAUAAAUAUAUACAUCUAUUGUUAUAUUAGGUGUGUUCUUGCUUCAAAAUGUACUGGUGUCAUAUUACUUAAAAUCUUGCUCGAGAAUGCAUUAGGCACUUAGCUAUGAAAGGUAGAAUGGAAAUUGCUACAACAAAAUCUUAACCCUAAUAGAAUAUUAAAUAAACUCUAAUUAAAUCUUGACAAUGCUAAAAAAUCUUUAAUCAAAUUCAAAAGAAACCUUAAAGAAAUUAUAAGAGAAACAAUAAAAAAAAUCUUAAAAGAGUUGAAAGAAAAUCUCCAAUAAAUCUUAAAUGAAUCCUUAAGAAAUCCUAAAAAAUAUUAAAAUAAUCAAAAAUAUAUCUUAAAUAAAUCUCAAUCAAGUUCUAAUUUAAUCUUUGUUGAAAUACUAAUUGACUUGAAUCAAACUUUAGACAAAUCUUAAAUCCUAAACCAAAUCCUACACAAACUCUAAAUCCUAAAUCAAAUCCUGAAUCUUAGAUCAAAUCCUAGAUAAAUCUUAAAUUCUAGUCUAAAUUCUAGAUAAAUUCUAAAUCUUAAAUCAAAUCCUAAACAAAUUCUAAAUCUUAAACCAAAUCCUAAAUUCUAAAUCAAAUCUCAGACAAAUCUUAAACUCUAAAUCAAAUCCUAGACAAAUUCUAAAUCCUAAAUCAAAUCUUAAAUCCUAAAUCAAAUCCUAAAUUCUAAACCAACUCAAUUUAAUCCUAAUAUUGUAAAAACCUCAAUAUCUACCAAUCAAACCAUUGAUCUUGCUUAAAAAUUAAAAUACUUGUCAACAACUAAGUUUGCAAUAAGUACAUGAAAUUUGAAGAUAAUUUCACUUACCAAAAAAAAUCCUAAAAUCUGCUCAGCUGUUGGUCAGCCUCCAAUUCCAAUCUAAAUGUUGAACUUCCAAUGCCAAUAUUUUCUUUUCAAACCAUUCAAUUUUUCUUAAAUUCCAAAAAUAUAUAACAAAUUAAGUCUAUUAUCCUUAUAUAUAAAUUUUACUCCAAUCCAACUAGUAGAUUGCUAAAGAUCUUAGAAAUCCUAACUGCCUCUCAAAGUUUAAUUUUUGAAACUUCAACCUACUUGAAAUUCAAUAAUCAUCAAUUCAACUAUUUGAUUAAGCUCAAACUUAUACCAUAAAUUUCAAAAAAUUAUUCACAUAAGUUCUCAAAAUUUGAAUUGUAGAUCUACUACCAAACUCACAAAAUUCUCUAAUAUAUAAUAUCCUUUUUAUUUUAUAAAUUCCAAAGUCAUCCAAAAUAAUUGCAACUUUGCAAAGCUCUUGAAAAAUUAUUAAACAUUCAAAUCACUCAAAAUUAAUACUUAAAAAAAUAUUUUAAAGUUUGUUCUCUAAUUCCACUUUUCAAUCUGCAAAAGAAUAUUUAAAUUGCCAUAGGUACCUGAUUUUGUCCCUUGGGGUCUGAUUUCGACCUAAGUUGAUAACCAAUCCUUUCCAAGUAUCAAAUUUUGUUUUUUUGAGUUAAUUUUUACUAAAAUCAACUCCUAAAUUUUUUCUAUAUAUGCUCAUAUUCUUUAUUUUUUUAAUCUAUCUUAUUUUACCUUAUUUAUAGUCUUACAAAAUAAGUAGAAGCCUACUUUGCAAAAAGGUAGCAUUUACACCUUUAAUUUUACUUUCUUUUGGAUUAUUGUCUAUUUCCUAAGAUAAUUUACUAUAAUAUUUAAAGUAAGAUAUUUUAUAAUAUAAUAAUUUCUUCACUCCUUGUACAUGUUAGUCAUAUUACAUCAUGAUAUUGGGUGCCUAAUUGUAGAAGAUAAGUAAAAAAAAAAAAAAAAAAAAAAAAAAAAAAUCUAUGAAGAUUAAUAGAAUUUUAAAUAACCUUAAUUAGAUCUUUGUAAUUCUAAUUGAAUUUUGACCAAUCAAAAAUAAAUUUGAAAGAAGUUAUAAAAAAAAUACAAAGAAGUUCCAAACUAAUUUCAAAAAUAAAUAACAAGAAAUAUUAAAGAAAUAUAAAAAUAAACCUUAAAAGAAAUGAUAAUAAUCUUAAAGAAAUAUUAGAAAUAGAAACUUUUAAAGAAAUAAUAAAUAUUCUUAAAGAAAUAUUAAAAACAAAAACUUUAAUGUAAUUAUAAUUAAAACCUUAAUUGAAUCUUAACCAAAUCCUAAGUCAAAUUCGAGGUCAAAUUCUAAUUGAAAUACUAAUUGAAUUGUGACCAAAUCAUAUAUCAAAUCUUAAUUGAAAUCCUAAUGAAACCUCAAAUCCUAAACAAAUCUUACACUAAUUCUAAACCAAAUCCUAAGCAAAACUUAGACCAAAUCCGAAAAUAAUUCUAAUCAAAUCUUAGAUUUUAAACAAAUUUUUAAUAAAGUGUAUAGCAAAUAGAACGUAAAAAAAUUAUAAUCAAGCCAUUGAUGUCAAAUCAAAUUUUAUAUACUUCUUAAUAUCAUAGUUAAAAAAAAGUACAAAAAAGAUGAAAUCAAAUAUACGUAUCAAUUGAGAGAAAGCAUGUUAAUCUAAUUGGGUGUUCGGUAGCCUCCUACUCUACUCUAAAUAUUGAACUUCCAGUGCCAAAACUCAAUAUUGACUUGAUUGACAUAAAACUAAUGUUUAAAAACCUUUCUUCAAGCUUGCUCUCAAAUUCUACCCUCCAAUCUACCAAAGAACUUUAAAUUUAUCAUAGAUGCACAAUUUUAUACCUUUGAAUUUGAUUCUGAUCCCAGUUGACAACCAGUCUUCUUUGGAUAUCAAUUCUUAGCUUCUUGAGGUAAAUUUUUUUAAAAUCUAAUCUUAACUCCUUUUUAUACAUACCUAUAUUAUUUUUUAUCUCAUUAAUUUUGAUUUGAUUUAUUUAUGCUUCUACAAAAUAAAUAGAAGUUCUUUUUAUUAAAAAAAAUAGUAUUAAGACUAAAUAUUUUAUUAUCUUUUAUUAUUUAUCCUUAUUUUUCUAUUAUAUUUUUUUGUUAGGCUCUUCUAUAAUAAUAUCCAUAUUUUUAUUUUUUACUAUAUAGUUGUAUUACCACAUGACAUCAUAACAAUGUGUCUCUUCCUACGCCAUAUAAGACAAUAGAUAUAUCAAAAAGAUAAUAAAUACCACUUCAUCAAAUAGAAGUGAACAAUAAUUAAGAAUAUAAAAUCAAAGAAGUUUUAGACUCAAGCUGGUGCCAAAAUAGAUUGAAAUAUCUUAUUUAUCGACAUGGAUAUGAUAUUAGUAAAUAUAAAUAGAAGCCAAUCAAGAAUUUUUUAAAUACACCAAAGAAAGUUGGUACUUUUCAUCAAUAACAUCCAUAAAAAUCAAGAUGAAGAAUAGUAUAUCUUUACUACAAAAGAAAUGCAAUUCAAGAAAGAUUACAUUCUAAAUUUAAUUCAAAAUUUAACUCAAAAGCUAUCAUUUGUUAACUUAUCAAAUAAAACAUUGCAACUACUACAACCUUCAAGAUAAUGUAAUAGAAAUAGAGUUUCUUAAAUAUGACAUAUUUUUCUUUAAAUAAAUGAUAAAUUACAAUGCAUUUAGUAUCACAACUUUAAAAGAUACUUUUCAUACUUGGUAGUAUUAUUAGAGAUAGGAACCAUUUCUAAUAAUAUUUCAAGUAUUUUAUUUGAAAGGAGUUAUGAAAGCCUCAACAAUAAUCAAAUAACAAGGUGGUCUUUUUGCCUUGGUAUAGGAUAUUUUCAAUGGCUUAGAAGACCUAUCAACCAUCUUUGAAGGAAACAAAGAUCAAAGUAUGUUGUAAAUACAAUUUGCCAUAUCUUAGACCUCUUUAAUAUAUAAUUGCCACUCCUUAUAGAAUUCAUUCCUAGAAAAGAAAAUAAUGUCACAAAUAUACAUAUUUACUUAAAUAAAAAAUAUUAGAUAGAAUAUAAAUGUAAGUAGAUUUGAUAUUAUCUUAUAGAAAAGCUUUUUAGAGGCCUUAUAAAUGCAUAUUUGAAAUUAUAUGUAUUUGUAGUUGAUUUGUAGGUUAGAAAUUUUUCCAACAAGUUAGCUACAUGUUGUACAUAUACUACACAUAUGUUGUAUAUGUUGUACAUAUAGUACACAUAUAAGAAACUUGUUUUACAAUUUAGAUGCAUGUUAUGCAAGUUGGACAUAAGUUGGAGGUCUUAUAAUGUGUUGCCAUGUAGCUUCUAGUUAGAUAGUAUAUAUAAAGGCAAGAAUGAAGCAUUUUUCACUCUUAUCAAUGUCUUCUUAGUCUAUAGUCUUAUUUCAAGUCUUUUUCGUCUUUUUACUUUUGAAAAUAGUUAUUUUAGUUUUAAUAUUAUAUUAAUUUUGACUAAAUUUCUACUCUUUUUAAGGAACUUAAGAAUCUAUUGAGUUUUAGAUUCUUCAAGAUUCAUGUCUUUAACAUAUAUUGGCUUGAAAAAUAACAAAGCUUAUCAAAUGUCUUUUUUAAAUGUUCUUAUCUUGCACCAAAAGAAAGAAAUAUAAUUUUUUAUUAAUAAAUAACAAUUUUCUAAUUAUUAGAGUAAUUUCAUCUUCAAGCAAUAGAAUCAAUAAUAAUUAUUGAUUUAAUUUUUUAAAAGAUAAUUCAAUCAAAUAUGUCCUUUGAUUCUCUUAUUUAUGAUAUUGAGAGAAACUCUUCUAAAUCUCAUGAUACUUCCAACUUUAAAUUCAAGGAAAAAACUAUUUUAUUUUAAAAGAUACUUAUAUAUUUUAAAAAAUAAAGCAUAAUUACAAUCUCUUAAAGUAUUUCAUAACUUUUAAUUAUAUUAUAUUUUAGAUAUAACAAGACUUUAGAAUUAAUCUCAAGAAAUUUUUAGUAGCAUCAAAUAUAGAAGAAAAUCAAAAGCUUUGUAUAAUCAUAUGAUAAUUUUUUAAGAUUAAAAAAUUCUUAUCAUUAAUCUUGUAAACUUUCAUAACUACUAAAUAUACUUAAAUAAUUCAAAUCUUUUAUUUUUAUGGAAUUUAUUAUAGAUCUUUUAACCUCAAGUUUAUAUAAUUCCAUAUAUGUGAUGGUAGAUUGUUUUACUAAGAUGGCACUUUUAUACUAUAUAAAAAAUCUACUAUACAUAAAGAAAUAGCUCAACUUUUUUUGACAAUAUCUAUUACUAUUAUGAAUUGCCAAAGAAUAUUAUAUCUUAUAAAAGAACCUAGUUUGUAUUAAGAUUUUAGAGAACCUUUUUUAAGAUAUUGAAGGUGGAUAUAAAACUAUCUUUGGUUUUUUAUAUUCAAAUUAAUCAACAAAAAAUAUAAGUGUGAGUCAUCAAAUUGACUUACUAAUUAUUUUAAGAUAAAAAUAUGCAUUUAGAAUGCUUUAAAUCAUAGUAUAUAUUAAGUAGUAUAGAAAUCCUUAGAGAAAUAGAAAAUUAGAAUUUUAGUGGUAGAAAUGGAGUCUUAGUAAGUCUUAGAGGUAAUUAUCUAUGUUGAUUUAGUAUUUUUAUUCAUUAUUAAAUAAUAAGAAUUAUUUAUUAGGACUAAUAUUUAUAUUUGUCUUCUAUCUAUAUAUACUACUUAUAAAAACUAUAAAUUUUAGUAGUUAGAAGAAGCAUGAGAAAGAACCUCAUGUCAUUUUAGUUAUUAGUAUAAAAAAUAAAAUAGGAUUUAUAGUAGAUUUAAAUUAAUUUUUAUUAUUAUAAAAAAUCACCAAGAUAGUAAAAUGUAGCCUUACAUGGAUAUUUGUAUUAUAAAAACAUUAUAGGAUUUUUCAAAAUUUAUUUAGAAUUUAUUUAUAUUUUUUUAGGAAUUUUUAGAGCAAUUUUUAAGACCUUGGUAAAAAUAACUUUAACCACUGGGGAAGCCAUUAUGAAGAAAUGGAGUAAGAUUUGAAGGCCAUCCAAGGUUCCUAGGCUAAUUGGAUGUUUUUAAAGACCAUGGUGUGGUCAAAAUUGCAAAAAUGUUGGUCCUUCUAGUAGAAAAUAGAAGGACUAGCAGCUGGUGUAGUUCUUAUACAAAGAGAGGUGCAGAAGUCUUAUAUGGGUUGUAGCACCUUGAAGGUAGUUAGGAGGAUAAGACUAAGGCCUCGUGGCCUCUCUUAGAGACCCUUAUAUACUAAAUUUGAGCCUUGGUGAGGCUCGAACCCUUGAUCUAUAAGCAAAUUACCCUUGAGGCAAAAUAUUUUUACUUAACUUUUUGUUUAUUUACUUGUUGUUUCAAACCUUCAUAACUUACUUAUAGUAAUUCAAAUUUACAUGUUUUUUAUACUAUUAGAAAGUUAAGAAAAUUAACUAUUUAAAAUUAUAAUUUUUACUUUUUAUUUUUAUUUUUUUAUUGGACGAAAAUAUAGUGAACAAACUGUGAGUAAGUUUUAGAGUGUAUUUGCUUGUAUACAUUUCUUUCACUUGUUUGUAUUGUUUUCUUCUUUUGUUCUUGUUCAUUGCAUCUUCUACUUCACACUAUCUAUUACAAGCAACUCUUAAUUGAGACCAUCUUGUAAUUUGGAUAGAGCGGUGAAAUUUGCACUCACAACAAGUAAAUCAAGUUUUAGAGCAUUAUUUAUAAUGUACCAUCAACUACUAUGAAGAUGAUUGAACAACUCUUUUAUCAUUGGCAAAGUUUUCUUAUAAUAAUAUGUUUUAUUCUUUAACUCAAAAAUCACCUUUUGAUGCUAAUUACAAUUAUUAUCCAUAACUUGAUAUUUUUUAUUUUUUUAUAAUUAAUAAUCAUGCAACAAAAGAUUUAUCAAAUCAUCUAUUAGAGAUACAUGCAAAAAUAAAGACACAACUAAAAGAGAAUCAAAAAUGACUAAAGACCAAUGCAAAUGCCUAUUACAAGGAACAACUUCAAUUCCAUAUUAGCAACAAGAUAUAAUUACUUAAUAUAAUAUUACAAACUAAUUGUCUUUAUAACAAAUUAGAUUUCCAUAGUCUAAGUCACUGAAUUGACUCACUUUAGAAUUUAGUAUAAAAAUGUACUUAUUGUGCUUAAAAUCAUAGAUUUUACAAGUUAAUAGUAGAAUUUUUAGAAAAAAAUAAAAAUUAGAUUUUUCAUGACAGACAUGAAAUCUAGGAUAGAAUUUAUUUGGUAGGGUUUUUGUGUAGUUAACAUUAAAUAAUAGCCAAUAGGAAUAGCCCUUAUUAUCAAAAGAAAAGAAAAAAUAAAAAAAUAAAUAAUAAUAAAAAACUUUAAAAAGUGACUAAAGUAAUAAGAGACUAUCCCUGAAUAGUAGUAGCCUCCUCGUUGAUAGGAAUUUGGCCAUUGAAUCUCUCUCUCUUAUUUUUUGGUUUUUUUUUCACAUCUUCACAACCUCUUGGUACUCCGGAACUAUUUUUUCUUCUUUCAAUUGGUAUUUAGGAUGAACUCUAUAUAAAUUGGAGUUUGCAACUCUUUUUUUUUUAAUUUUUGUUCCAAUUGUAGGAGUAGCUCAUCUUUCGUAGGGUUUUUUUGAUUCUUCAUGGGCCAAUUCUAUAGUCCCUUAUCAUAUAUUUAUUUCCUUAGUUUCUUCUUGUAGAUUACUAACUGUGCAUUAGAAUAGCAUGCUAGAACAAGUAAACAUCAAAGAAGGAAUGUACUUUCCCUCUCCACAAUCUUGCUGUUAUUUAAUGAGCCAUGCAACCAACUUGCAGCUAAUAUCAUUCAAACUAGAAGGAUCAUGAGGAUUCAUGCUACUGAGCAUGUACAAUAGCAAGGCAAGAAAAACAUCAACUAUAGUUAGUCUCAUCAAUUCCCUACUUCAUGGAGAUAUUGCACUGAGGAGUGGAGCUGCUCAAAAUUUCAUCCAUAAAUAAGAAGUUAUUCAACCAUCCAUUCAUUUAGGGAUAGAAUUUUCUUUUGGAUGAAUUUUGAAUUUUGGAAUAAUAUUUAAUACUAAAAAAAAUAAAGAUUAAUAAUAAUAAUAAUAAUAAUAAUAAUAAUAAUAAUAAUAAUAAUAAUAAUAAGAUAAAAUAAAAAUUAUAUGGACUUAAAUUAAAACAUAUAAAUUUUUCUUUUAAGUAUGUGUUAUCAAUUGAAUUAUUUGAUUAUCUUGUAUUGGAGUUAUGGUAUUCUUUAACUAGUAUUACUACCAUAGAAUCAAAAGUGAGAUUUAAUUGGUAGAAAAUUGAAAAUUAAAAAAAAUAAAAAAAUAAAUUAAUCAAUUAAAUAAUAAGCUAGUUGAUAUUGAUUAAUUAGAAUAGAUUACAUGUUAGAAGAAUUUAUAUUAAUCACAAUUUGGAUUUUUUUGGAUUAUAGAAUAUCUAAUUAAAUAAUAAUAGAUACUUGUUAGAAAUUGAGAUAAUUCCAUCGUUGUGAAUUAGAAUAGACUCUUUAUUAGUAGAGGUUUAUUUUGCUUCACAUUUUGGUGCAUAUGCUGAGAGAGAGAUCUUAUAAGUCUUAGGAUUGCUUGAAAGGUAAUUAUUUAAUUGUUGCAUACUUCUAAAUUAUUUUAUCUUAUACUAGUAUAAUCUCUUGGUAUAAUUGUAGAUUAUUGUUGUAUAGGAACUCGAUUUUUAAAGGGAGCUUGAAUAAUUUUAGAGUAAAUAGAAAGAAGCUUAAUUAUAGAUUUAGAAUUAUUUUAAAGAUUAGUAUUAAAUUAGGAUUAGAGGAGGAUCUUCAUCUAAGGUGGAGCUCUUCUUCAAAAUUAGUUUUUACUUCCCCUCCUUGUCAAUUCCUUGUUGAGGGCCUAUCUCUACUAUUUGAAGGGAUUUAAUCACCCUCUCCACCUGCUAUAUCUCUCUUAUUUAUAAGUGUAGUAUAGAAAAAAAUUCUUCAAUAAUAUUUGAAGAGUUUCUUCAUUAAUAAUUCAAGGAAAAAUAUUAGAAAGAAGAAAGUAAGCCAAAGAAGAUAUAGAAGUCAAAGAAAAAGAGAAGAAUUAAAUUUCAAAGGCUAUAUUUUGAAGUAAGUUCUUUUUAGAUAAUCAGUUGAAUUUUUAAAUUAUUAUUAAACUAAUAUAGAUUGUAGAUUGAAGAAUAAGAAGAUUGAAGAAAAAAUUAGCUUAAAAAAAUAAAAAAAAAUUAAGUAAAUUUUUAGCAUUUGUGAAUUAUUUCAAUUAUUUCAAAUUUUAGUACAUAGGUGUAGAGCAAGGAGCAAGGAAUUGGAGGAUAGAAUUUAAGAAGAAGUAACAAAAGGGGUACUUAUUUAUUUUCUUUUUUAAGACUUGAUGUAGUAGAUUAGGAUAGAACCUUCAUUAAUGAUCCUAUCUUUUAAAUCUAAUCCGUAAUCAAUUAAAAAGAUCAUUUGGAAUAUUUUUAAACUGAUUCAUUAAUAAGUAACAAGGUGGUUGGGGAUGCACCUAGGUGAGUUUUUCUUCAAGUUAGAUUGAUGUAUGCAAAGAAUCUUUUUUGUUCAAUAUUUUUGUCGUUAACCAAAUAGUUAAUAAUUCUCUAACUGUAUUGAUAUAAAGGAUAAAAAAAAAAAAAAAAAAAAAAAAUCUCAGGCUUCCUAUGGGCAAUAAAGUGCCUUUAUAUUGAAUUUUGCUUAGUAUUACUCGCUCAAAAAUUUAUUUUGUAUAAUAAUCUGAGAAAAAAAAAAAUCUAACUUAAAAUGAUACUCAAAUAAGUAUUCUUUUUUUCAAGUUAUUUUUGUUAUAUUGUCCUUCAUUGUUAGAAAGAGUAUUUAAGUGGAAUGUAGCUUGAUGAAUAUAAGAUAAUAAAAAUUUAAAUUCUAUAAGUUACUUGUUAGGCUUGUUUAAUUUUUAGAGAUGAGAUUGUGAUUGUAGCAGUUUAAUAUACCGCUCCACUAAGUCCUAUAAAUCUGUAUUAAUACAACCUUUAGAAAAUCUAAAGUUUGUAAGAACUAUUAGAUUUUUUUGCCAAACAUUAGAACUUUGACUCCUAGACCCGAUUUAAAUAUGUCUAGAAACCUCGUUGAAGAGUUUAAAGACCUUUCUUUAGAAGACUUAAAAGAAAAUUUAGAAAAAUUAUUUUUUCAAUCCUUCAAUAGAUAAUACAAGUAAUUCAAAUUAAGAAGGUGUUUAGUCACCUCAACCGCAAGAACCAAUGAAUCCAAAUAGAGUAGAACUAGAAGAACUACCAUCCAUAUUAAUUAAUCUUUUGAUUCAACCAAAGAGUUUACUUAUUUGAGUUUCAGAGGGAUUUAGUACUACACCUAUGCCUCCUAACUUUCUUAUCUUUAAGGGUAUAAAGAAUAAAGACCCUUCAACAAAUGUAGAGUAUUUUAUAAAAAUACUAACUAUGUAUUUGAUAAUAGAUGGCUGUUAUUAUUUAGUGUGGUUUUUAACCACAUUAAAAGAGGGAGCAUAUGAGUGAUAUCACAACCACUCUCCUAAUACCUUCUUAACUUGAGAUAUGAUCCAACAUAUCUUUUUAGAAUAAUUUCGAUCUAAAGUAGGGCAAAGCAUGGCCUUAAUUACUUUACCUUUGUUUAGAGAAGGAAAAGAUGAAGACAUUACAUCAUAUAUUCAAUGUUUUGAAUUAGUAGUAACAAGGUCCAUAGGAACUUUGCUCAAUGAUGAUAUCUUGAAGCAUUUCUUCAUUCAAAGAUUUGCCAAAGAGAAAACCAUUGAAGAAAUCCUUCAUGCACGCCCUGAAAACCUCAUAGUGACCAAACAUUCAGCAAAAAAAAUAAAACAAAUUAAAAAAGAGUAUGAAAGACUAUGGCAUAAAAAACACCACAAUACUCCUAGCUUCAUAUCAAUCCAUACUAGGAAUCAUUAUGUGUCAAGUCCUCAAUUGCAUGACCAACCACCACUUAUUCCUACAACCAUAAGAGUCUAUCCUUUACCAUUAAAUACUAAGCCUCCACCUCCUUCAUUGACUUUAACUUAUCCUAUUGAAGAUAAUAGGUAGAAGGGAGAUUUACAAAAAAAAGAUGAAGGCAUCCUAAUUAUAAUUCCAAAUCCAAAUUUCUCAUCAAAUGAAGUUGAUGACAAAAUAAUUAGCUAGACUAGCUAGAAAUUCUAAUUUUAAUUCUUUUCCAUCUCCCAUUGAGUCAAAAAGAUAUAUAAUGGAAUUAUGGUAUAUUCAAUGUAGCUAACCAAGAUAUUUCAUCCAAUUUUAUAAUUCCAUUCUUCCACAAAACUAUUAUUCUCUACCAUAUGCCUCUUGACACAAAAAUCAAAUCUUUAAAGGGCAUAAUUUAGGAAAACAAGGGUUUAAUACUAAGAACCAAAGUCCUAUGAAUCACAUAAGAUAAUAAGUAGAAUUUUAUAUAUUUUUCAAGAAAAGACAUCUAUCUAAUUAAUACUCGAUUGAAAAUCAAGUAAAGUGUGCAAAUUGUGGUAGUAACUAUUCCACAAAAUUUUGUAGAAAAUUAGAUAUAAUGGUUUAUUUACAACCUUUACUUGAUAAUUAUCCUCAAUAGUCAUUUAACAAUCAAAGGGAAGCAAGAAAAUCUCCAACAGAUAACAAUCUAAGGCCUCCAAUUCUAUAUUAUAACUAUGACAAAAAUUGACAGAAUCAAAAUAUACCUAGUGGACCGCAAAUCAAUUCUCGAUAUAUUCCAUUAAAUCCUAAGAAAGGUUAAAAGCCUUAUAAUCAACCUAGAUAUAGUCAAAGAUCUCAUGAUGUGAGAUUUGUGUCUCAGCCCAUAGGAAAGUUGGAACCUAUUUAGGAUUCUAUCCAACUUAAUAUCAAUAAAUCCUUUUCUCUCAAAUUAAAUUUAAUAACCUUUGAAAAAAAUCAAUCAAAGAAAAAGAACCUACUUGUGGUACCAAUCCUAGCAAUAAUGACUAGAUCUAGGACCGCAUCUUUAUAUGCCCAUCAAGAAGAGGAGAGUAGUACCUCAAAGAAUCCACUUUACUUCUUAGAUUUAGAAUAAGUCCUGAAGGAUACAAUUAAGGUAACUUGAACCAACAAGGCUAAAUCUAUGAUUCUUUGAUGAAAAAAUUAUUUUUUUCAAAAUCUUGAGAUUGAAUACAAGCCAAAUAUUAAUCCAAAAAACUAUGGUUGGAAAGGUCCUAAAAUUCCAACAUUUGAAGUUUUCCAACAACACAAGGAUGGAGGAGAAUUCACUGCACAAGAAUACAAUUUAUAGAAUGAUCUUAGCAAAUUAAGGGCUAAUAUUAUAUUUAUCUGAUUAUUGGAUAUUUUUCCAAUGAUUAGGAGGGCACUAAAGAUCUACAUUUCUAUAAGAAAUAAAAAAAAGAACUAAGAUUAGAGUGAUGGCAAAAAUAGAUACUUAUACUAAACAAAGUGAGGUAAAGACAAUAAAAGUUGAUGCUUCUAUUGUUGACAAAAAAAAAUUCCCUAUACUAUUGUAGAUAUUGGUAGUGGUUUGAAUAUCAUGCCUUUUCAAACCAUGAAAAAACUAGGAUUAAAUAUCACUAGGCCAUCUCUUUUUGUUAUCAAGAUAGAAAAUCAAGGUCCAUCCAUUCUAGUGAACGAAAUUAAAAAUUGUAAAACUUAGAUAGGGGGGAAAGAAUAUGCCUUAAUAUAUCAUGUCCUUUGAAUGUAUAUGUGUCAUGGAUAUACACAUGUAAGCCAAUAAUUACAUAUACAAAUAGAUAGAAGUAAGUAAAAGUAGGUAAAAAUAAGUUAAUUCUUUAGUAUUUAGUAUGGAAGCUUCCUAGAAGCUUCAUAGAUAUUGCUUUGACUUUAUAGGUAUCUUUAAUUGACUUUUUGGGAUUAGAAACGUGGUCAACAAGUCGGCCAUGUGCCACACAUGUUGUUAGCUUGGAGACCAAGCUAAUUAUGUGGCCCACACAUAGAAAAACUUGCCUUAUAAGUCAAAGCAUGUAUCUUACAAAGUCAACACAUAUUGGAGGUCCUAUAGAACGUCGCCACAUAGCCCUUAAUUAGAUAGUAUAUAUAGAGACAAGAGUGAAGUCUUCUUCACUCUUGUCAAUUCCUUUCUUACUUCCAGUCUAGUUUCAAAGAUCUCUAGUUUUCUUAUCUUUUGGCAAUAGCCAUUCUAAUUUCUUUUUUAAUAUACAUAUCAAGUUAUUUCUAUUUUGUCAUCUUUCUUUGAAAAAAGUCUCACUUAUUUAUUUGUCUUUAUUAUGCUCUUGUCUUUGAUAAUAUGUCAAAGGAUUUUUUUCUUUUAAUACUUAGUAGACCACGGUUGAGGAAUUCAGAAGCCAUAGUUAACUGGAGGAGAGACAAGCUCCACAUUUCUUUUGAUCUAUAGAAGAAUAGAAUCAAAACCUCUAUAUAACCUACCUUUGAUCAUAGAAAAAUUAAUUCCAUUGAUUCAUUAGAAGAUACCCAACAAUCCAAAAGAUAAAACAAAUUAACAAAGGUGGUUAAUUCAAUUGACAAAGAUUCAAAGAAAAUCAAAUACCUAGGUUCCAACCUAUAUCAUUAGAAGGAUAAUAGAUAAUUUAAACAAUGACUUAACAAUCAUUGAGAUUCUAAUUUUGAUUUUUAUGAAUCAGUUAAUUUUUUGGAAGAUAUGUUAGAAAUUAUAAAAUUUGAAGAAAUCCAUGCUAUUAGUGUUAGAAUAGAUAGAAUAUUAGAAGAAGAAUUUGAGGUCUUUAAAAGAAAUGAAAAUUUAAUACUAUCUCUUAGAUUGCAAAACACUUCAUCAAGAAUUUUAGUUAGCAAUGGAAUUAUGAACUACCUCCUUAUAUCUAGUGAUUAAUAUAAAAAUUCUUUGGAACAAUCUCUGGUGCAAGAAUCCAAAUGGAAAUUCAUAGAUGUUUCUCAUGAAGAAGAAGAGUCCAAAAAUAUUAAAGUUAGAGCUCAUUUAAAUCAAGAAGAGGCAUCUAGAUAUCAUGAAUUAAUCAUGAAAACUUGAGACGUUUUAGCAUGGUCUUACAAGGAUUUGAAGGAUAUACCACCUGAGGUGGCUCAAUACCAUAUUCUCUUUAUUCUUUAUGUUAAGAUAGUUAGAUAAAAAGAAAGACGUAUCAACCCUUAAUUCUAAUUGAUUAUUAAAAGAGAGUUAGAAAAAUUGUUAUAAGCUGAUUUUAUAAAGCUAACGGAAAUAACAUAUUGAAUCUUUCCUAUGGUCCUUGAAAAGAAAAAGAAUAUUAAAUUAAGGAUAUGCAUAGAUUAUAAAAAAUUCAAUGAGCACACUCAAAAAGACCAUUUUUUCCUUCUUUUCAUUAAUAAUGUCUUAAAUAAAGUGGCAAGUCGUGAAACCUAUAUUUUUAUGGAUAGAUAUUUAGAUUAUAAUCAAAUUUUCAUAGCCCCAAAAGAUUGCUAUAAAAUAGCUUUUGCCACUCUUUGGGAUAUUUUUAUUUUUUUUGUCAUGUCUUUUGGGCUUUAUAAUGCCCCUUCUGCCUUCCAAUGAGCCAUAAUCUUUGCUUUUGAGGAUUUGUUCUAUAAAUCUAUGAAGGUCUUUAUAGAUAAUUUUAGCACUCAAUCCAAUGCCAGAGAUUAUUUAAAACGUGUAGAAGAAAUCUUAGAAAGAUGUAGAAAAAUGGAAAUUUCUUUAAAUCUUGAUAAAAUAUACUUUGCAGACCAAAAGGAGGUUUUGUUGAAUUAUGUGGUGUCUAAAGCAGGAAGAGAAUCCGAUCCAAAAAAAAUAUAAGUCAUAAUUAAAAUGCAACCUCAUAUAAAUGUUAAGGAGGUAGAAAGGAUCUUACAACAUCUUGGAUAAUAUCGGGAAUUAUUUUCCAAUUAUGCUACAAAAAUUUCAUCCAUUACCAAUCUCAAAAAAAAAUUGGUUAAGUUUAAAUGGAAAAAAGAGUGCCAAGAUACCUUUGAUUGGAUAAAAAUGACAUCAAACUCCUAUCCUAUUUUUAAACCACUUAAUUGAAAUCUUUCUUUUUCUAUCUAUUGUGAUGUUUCAUCUACAGCAGUAGAUAGUGUAUUAUGUCAAUCAACGAAAGGUGGGCAUAAAGUUUAUUCUAUCACAUAUGCUAGCAAGAAGUUAAAUGGGGCAAAAUAAAAUUAUAAUACCACCAAAAGAGAGUGCUUCUCUAUAGUUUUUUCUGAGAAAAAAUUUUGACAUUACUUUUUAUUAAAUUUUGUCUCAUUUUUUGUUAACCAUAUGGCCAUCAAAUACCUAGUUAAUAAAGUAGAUUUGAGUGGUCAUAUAACUUGAUGGAUAUUAUUACUAGGAAAAUUUGACUACAAGGUAGAAUACAAACUUAGAAAAUUAUAUAAUCAAGUUGAUUAUCUUUCAAGGUUAGAAGGAAAAUUAAGUCCUACUCCUAUUGAUGAUAACUUGGUAGAUAAAUUCUUUUUUAAUAUUUUUGCCUAUCCUACUUAAUACAACCAUAUUGCAAAAAAAUUAAAUUCUAAUUAAUUUCUAAAAGAAUUGUUCAAAUAUGAAUGUCAAAAGAUUAGAAUUAAUAGUACUUAUUUUGCUAUUAUAAAAAAAUGGUUAUAUCAUUGAGGAAUAGAUGGUUUAUUCAAACAAUGUAUAGUGGCUGAUGAAGUAUCGGCCAUAUUAAUAACAUACCAUGAUAGUGCAUAUAGGAGACACUUCUUAGAUAGACUAACAUCUCAAAAGGUAAUGAGAAUUGGGUAUUAUUAGCCUACUAUGUUUCAAGAUGCCCAUGAUUAUGUUAAACAAUGCAAUGCUUGCUAAUGUUAUGUAAAAAAUGAUUUACAUAUGGCACUUCUUUUUCACAUAUCUUUACCUUUAAUUUCCUUUGAAAAAUAGGGGAUUGAUUACAUAAGAGAAGUUUAUUCCAAUUCUUCAAGAGAGAUAAAACACAUUGUAGUAGCCAAAAAAUAUUUAAAGAAAUGGAUUGAAGCAAGAGUUAUCAAAACCAAUGAUGCUAUCCAUGCAGCUUAUUUUAUGUAUGAGCAAAUCAUUACUCAAUUUGGUUGUUCCAAAAUUUUAAUUAGUGAUUGAAGAAUACACUUAAUAGUAUAAUAGAUGAGAUAAUUAAUAAGUUUAAUAUAAACCAUUAUAUGACUACUUCCUACCAUCUACAAACUAAUGAUUAUAUAGAAAGAGAAAAACAAUCCUAGGUUAAUAUCCUAAGAAAGAUAGUACAAGAUUCAAAGAAAGAUUGGGAUACAAAAUUACUAGUAGCCUUGUGGGCUUACCAAACAACCUACAAGGUCACAACCAAGGCCAUUCUAUUUUCUUUAGUAUAUGGAGUAGAAGCUAUACUACCAAUAGAGUUUGAAGUCAAUUCAUUAAGAAUAGCAAUAGAUGAUAGAUUAACCAUCUAAGAACCCUUGAAGGAUAUAUUAGAACAAUUGAAAGCCUUGAUGAAAUUUGAAGGAUCGGAGCUCAACACAUAGAAACAAUUCAACAAAAGAGAAAAAAUGCUUUUGAUUAGAAAAAAAACGUAAGAAGAGAGUCUUACAACCGAAGAUGCUAGUGCUAUUAUAAGAUGCCAGGAAAAUAUAAUUCUUUAAAAAAAUUGAUGCUAUUUUGUUAGCACCUUAUCAUAUUAAGAAAGUGUUUGAUAACAACUUGUUACAAUUGAAAAUACUAAAUGGUAAACUAUUUCCAACAAGAACAUCUAGAAAUAGAUGUAUAAAGUAUGAAUAAUUUAUCUUAUAGAAAGAAAAAUACUAUAUUUUGUCUUUACAUAAAGGAAUAAGAAUCUAGCUAAACAACUUAGUCAAACUUGAUUUUUAUCAACAAAAUAGGAAACUUGACUCAUCAAAAAGAUAAGAAUAUUUUUUAUGAAGUUCUUAGUUCUACUAGAAUAUCAUCUUUUUUUCCCUUUUAAAGGUUAUGGAAAAAAAAAAAAAAAAAAAAAAAAAAAAAAAAACUUUAUUUUAUAGGAUUUAAAAAUGACUUGGAAUUGAUUAACAUCCUUGGAUUGUUGGGCGGUUGGCCACAAAAGUGGUUAUGAAGGAAGUGGCCUGGGUUCAAAUCUGGUCCAUAAAUGCAGCUAUCCAUAUGAGCUACUAUUAGAGUAAGAAAGUGGCCAAUAUGUGCAACUUAGAGGAUAUGUAGGUCUCAUUGCUACUAAUUUAAAUUCUUCUUUCAUAAUAAGAAUUAUAUAGCACCAACUUUUAGCUUUUUACAUAGAAGUAUUAUAUUUUUCUUUUUCUUUUUUUGUUUCUUUUCUUAUUCCAUAGAAUUAUCUCACCUUAUUUUAUUAAGUAGACAAAUUUCUUCAAUAGUCUUCUAACUCAAGAAAAGUAGCACUAGAAGAUAUGAGUGCACUAAUAUUGAGCAUGAUCUUUUAUAUGAAUAAUUUUACUUUGGUUCUAUAGCACUACUAGUAUAGUCUUGAUAGAAUAAUAAAUCCAACUACCUAACUUUAGAUAAGGGCCUGCCUGUGAAGCAAGAGAUUUUGGAUUUUUUUAUCUCUUCUAAUUGUUCCAGAUGGUCCCCAUAUGUAAGUGAUUGAAUUGACUCACUUCAGAAUUUUUUAUGAAAGUGCACUUAUUGUGCUAAAAAUCACAGAUUUUGUGAGUUAGUUGUAGAAUUUUUAGGAAAAAAUAGAAAUUAGAUUGCUCAUAGUAGAUAUGCAAUCUAGGAUAGAAUUUAUUAAGACAAAUUUCCAUGAUGAAUAGGUUUUUGUGUAGUUAACAUUAAAUGAUGACCAAUAGGAAUAACCCUCAUUGUCAAAAGAAAAUAAAAGAAAUAAAUAAAUAAUAAAUAGAAAAGUUAAAAAGUGACCAAGGUAGCAAGACGCUAUCCCUGAAUGGUGGUAGCCUCCUCGUCGAUAGGGGUCCGGCCAUUGGAUCUCUCUCUCUUGUUUUUUGGUUUUUUUUCACAUCUUCACGAGCUCCAAGUGCUCCAAAACUGUUUUUUCUUCCUUCGAUUGGUGUGUAGGGUGAGCUCCGUAUGAAUCGGAGUCUGCGGCUCUCUAUCUCUACUAGGCGUGUGCAGUGGUGUUGCAUUUGGGAGGGCUGCUUGGGAGCAGAAUCGUGCUCGGUUGUGGUGGCUGGUAUUUUGCGACUGACCUGGUAAUUGAAGACUGCAUUGGAUCAAUUCUGGUGUUGCUGGAGCGAUGUUAGAGCAAGUUUGGUUUCUUUGGGGUAUUGUGACUAGGGUAGCAUCAAUAUUCAUGCUAUGGUGGAGCUGCAUUUGCCUACGUCGUUGUGCGGGUGGCUGAAGAACUUGUUAUUUUUUUUAUUUUAUUUUAUUUUGUUUCAAUUGUGAGAGCGACUCGUCUUUGGAAGUGUUCCUUUGAUUCUUCAUGCACUGAUCCUAAACCUCCAAGAUUUCGCGACAAUCCCUCGUCGUAUAUUUAUUUCCUUGAUUCUCCCUAGCGGCGUUUCCUUUUGUGUCAUUUUCUAAUUCCUUGGAGCAAUUGAUCUCCAUCGAUUUGGGGUUGUUGUUCCUCUUGUUGAUGCUGCCUUCGUCACCAUUGCUUCAUUCACUCAUCCUAGUGAUGUUCUUCGGCUGGUCGAAGGUGGCAGGCAAUGGCGGUAAUUAUCACUAUCACAGCGCCUUCGCUGAAAUUAUCUUGUGACCCAGAAUUGGGCACAAGUCAUUGAGAAGAACGAUUUUGUCAUGGUGCACUAAAAACUAGUUACAACUCUUCUCUGCAAGGAAAGUCCUCUCGAUUGCAGCUGACUCAAGAAGUUCCCCAAUAAGGUCACGCCCUGGUGGUCUCCAUUUUUACUUCAGCUGGACAUGCAAACCAAGUCAAUACAGUUCAUAUUAUGGGCAAUAUAAUUUUCACCAAACCGUCGUUGCUGUUCACGACCAAGUGCUCCCACAAGAAUACAUCCAGAAGAUGUUGUAGGAACUGUUCUUGUAGGCUGUAAAUGAUACGUUGAGGUUCUUAUUCUUGUUGCUAUUUAUCAAUCUUGUUGUAGAUUGCUAGCUGUGCAUUGGAAGAGCGUGCUGGAAUAAAUAAACAUCAAAGAGGGAAUGCACUUUCCCUCUCUACAAUCUUGCUGUUGUUCGAUGAGCCAUGCAACCAACUUGCGGCUAGUAUCAUUCAAACUGGAAGGAUCAUGAGGGUUCAUGCUACCGAGCAUAUGCAAUAGCAAGGCAAGAAAAGCAUCAAUUAUAGUUAGUUUCAUCAACUCCCCGCUUCAAGGAGAUGCUGCAUUGAGGAGUGAGGCUGCUCGAAACAAAAGACAACAUUGGAAUCAAUCCCAAAAGAACAGCAAUGACUUCUUCAAGAGAAUACCAUAGCGACUAGACUUUAAGACCGCAAACCAUUAGAGGCAGCACUGAGGGAGAACAAAAGUCGUCCCAAGCUUUAAUCACUCCCAAUUCUCCGGAUGGUCAGAAUCCAAGAUCAAGUAUAACUUCAACGACUAGGCAAGAUUACCAAGUUUUAUUGUUAAAAAAAUUUAGUGAAUAAAAAAUUAUUUUAUAUGAAUUUAAAUCAAUGGAGAUGAACCUAGGAUUUUGAAUGGAUGAAUUAGUAGAGAUGAGAAUGAUCUAAGGUUGGAUGAAUUCUUAUUUAUGGAUGAAAAUCUAUUCAUGAAUGGAAUUUUUUUUUAAUGAAUUUUGAAUUUUGGAAUGAUAUUUAAUACUAAAAAAAAUAAAGAUUAAUAAUAAUAAUAAUAAUAAGAUAAAACAAAAAUUAUAUAGACUUAAAUUAAAACAUAUAAAUUUGUCUUUCAAGUGUGUGUUGUCAAUUGAAUUAUUUGAUUAUCUUGUGUUGGAGUUAUGAUGUUCUUUAAGUGGUAUUACUACCGUGGAAUCAAAAGUGAGAUUUAAUUAGUAGAGAAUUGAAAAGUAAACAAAAUAAGAAAUAACUUAAUCAAUUAAAUUGUAAGCUAGUUGAUAUUGAUUAAUUAGAAUAGAUAUAUAUUAGAGGGAUUUAUAUUAAUCACAAUUGAGAUUUUUUGGAUAGUAGAAUACUUAAUUAAAUAGUAAUAGAUACUUAUUAGAAAUUGGAAUAAUUACAUUGUUGUGAAUUAGAAUAGACUCUUCACUAAUAGGGAUUUAUUUUGCUUCAUACAUAGACUUUAAUCAUUUUUUAUUUAUGAAUAAGUUAAUCUAAUUGCAUAUAAAUUAUACCUAUCAAAGUCUAUAAAAAUCCAUUCCAUAUUCCAUAUUUCUCUCUUUAAGCCAUAUAAAAUAAUAAAUAUCUCAGAAAGAAGAUAAAUGCUACCUCCUUCUAUUGAUGUGCAUAAUUAUCAAGAGUUUGUAGUAGAUGAAGUCUUAGACUUAAGUCACCAUCGACUUAGGUUAAAAUAUCUUUUUUAUUAGUGCGGAUAUAAUAUUGAUGAAUGUGUAUAGAAGUUAGCUAAGAAUAUUAUAAAUAUAGUAGCAAAAGUCAAAGCUUUUUAUUAACAAUAUCCAUCACAAUAAAGAUGAAAAAUAAAACAAUUACUUACUAUAAAAAAAUGAUAUUGGAUUGCAUCAUAUCAUCUAUCUUUGAUUAUGGUUUCUUUGUAUUUAUAGCACUAAAAUUUAAAAAUAAAAAAUAUAAUAUAAAAAAAAAAACAAACAAACAAACAAACAAACAAAACAAACAAAACAAACAAAUCAACAAUUAAGAAAUUCUACUCAAGAAUUGUUGUUUAUUGAUUUAUCAGAUAAGACAUUAUAAUUAUCACAACCUUUAAGAUGACAAUAAAAAUGAAAGCCCUCAAGAAUGAUAUAUCAUUCCUCAAAUAUAUGAUAAGAUACAAUACAUUUGAUAUUAUGACCUUAAAAAAAACUCUUGAUAUUUUGUGAUAUUGUUAGAAGUAGCAAUAAUUCUAGAUGGUAUUACUAUUAUUUUGUUUAAAAGAAGUUAUGAAGGCAUCAACAAUGAUUAAAUAUCAAAGUGGUCUUUUUGCCUUAAUAUAGAAUACUAUCAAUGGCUAAAAAGACCUAUCAACUACCUUCAAAGGAAAUAAAGAUUAAAAUAUGUUACAAACAUAAUUUAACUUAUCUAAGACUUUUUCAACAUGUGAUCACCAUUCUUUAUGGAAUUUGUCUUUAAAAAAAGGGAUAGUGUUAUAGACAUCUAUAUUUAUUCUAAUAAUUAUUUAGAUAAUAUAAAUAAAUAAAAAUAGAUAAAAAUAAAUAAAUUUAAAGAUAUCUUAUAGAAUAGUAUUUUAAAAGCUUCAUAGACAUAAUUUUGCAUUUAUAUGUAUCUAUAGGUAAUUGAUAAGUUAAAAUUUGGCCUAAAAAUCAGCCAUAUGUUAUAUAUGUUUGUAAGUUAUGGUACAAGUUGGACAUAUGGUGUACAUGUAAAGCUUAUCUUACAAGUUAGACAUAUGUCAUGUGAGUUAGACAUGUAUUGAAGGUCAUAUAGAAUGUUGCCACAUAGCUCUUAAUUAGAUAGUAUAUAUAGAAACAAGAAUAAGGCCUUCUUCACUCUUAUCAACUCCUUUCUUGCUUAUAGUCUAAUUUCAAGGAUCUCUAGUUUUUUUUUUUUUUUUUUUUUUUUUAGCAAUAGCCAUUGUAGUUUUUUCUUCUAUAUAUAUAUAUAUAUAUAUUCUUAUUUUUUUUUCAUCUUUUUUUUUAAAAUAUUCACUUAUAUAUUUAUAUUCAUCAAGUUCUUGUCUUUGACAAUAAUAUCUAAAUAUGUAUAUUAAAAAUAUAUUAUCUAAUAAGAUUAUUUUAGCCUUUGUGCUAAUAUCUUAAUAAUAGAAUAUAAGAUCUAGAUUUUUUUGUGUUCAUAUUUUUCUACUUUUGGCAUUAUUUAGGUCUAUCAUAUACAAAUCCUUUUAAGUGAGAUUAUAUGUAUUUUAUAUGUAUUUUCUAUUAAAAAAAAAAUCCUUGUCAAUAUUAGCAUACCUUCUUUGUAUUGCACAAGUAUGAUUAUUAUAUUGAUGUCACAUGAUAUGGUAUUGAGUGCUCAAUUCUAUCAAAUAUAUAUGAUUUAGUUUAGUUUUGUAGUUAUUCGUCCAUUCAACUUUUUCCAUUACUUCACUUAUUGAUGUACACUAGGAUUUGAAUACUUAAGUAGAAAAAUUCCUUGACUUGACAUUCUUAUCAAAUCAAGUCUUGUGAGUGGUUUUUGAGAGAAAAAAUUUUAUUGUACGGAUUUAUUUGUCUAUGGUGAUUUAGCCAAUUAGUAAAAGCUUGAAGAUUUUCUUCUAUUUAUACUUGCAUUCUUAGAUUCUCCUUUUGUAGUACAAGAAAUGGCUUGAUUUAUUGGUAUUUAGAUCCAUCAUCUUCUCUUGAGAGUUUGUUGGUUGUAUAUUUGUAUUUGAUUUAGAUUACAUACCUUGUGAUUGAUUUGUAACACUCAAUGUGUUAUAUGUAACAAUCUUUAUUUAUUUAACAUUGAUCUUAUAUAUAUAUUAGCAAAAACCAUGUCUAUUAAGAUCAAGUUUCUUACAAAAGCUCUAAUUUCUUAUAAUAUGUGCUUUAUGAAUCUUGUCUUAAAGUCAAUUUUAUUCCUAUUAAGAAUGAUCACUUCUUUGUAAAUAAUGAGCUUGACAUUUUCAUAUCUUGUCUUAGCAACAAGAUAAUAGUUUAGUUUUACAUAUAAUACGCAAAUGCAAUCUACUAAGUUGGAUCUACUUUUUUUUUGCAUUUAUGGUUUAUCUACCUUUUUAUCUUUAUUAGAAGCAAUGAAUUUCUUAUUAUUCUAUUUCUUUAGAAGAAGCACCAUAUCAUUAUUGUUGAUAAGAACUUAUAUAGAUUUGCCUAAUAGAUUGUUAUGGCAUUUAUAUCUACAAUAUUAAUAUUAGUUCCUAUUACAUCCAAUGUUUGUGUUUUGAAAAAUCAAUAUCAAUUAAUAAAGAUAACAAUGCAAAUUAUUUCUCAUAAUUCAUUGCAUCAUUCUAUCAUUGCAAAUUUAAUAUCAUGUGCAAUUGUAGGCUUGGAUUUUGUUCAAAUAAACCUUCUCUUGACAUUAUUUCUUGUCUUUGAAUUUUGUCAAAUGAAGUUAAGAACUCUAUUACAAAAAAUGUAUAGUAUUUGCACAAACUUCAUCAUACAUAAUAUUUCACAAAUGUUAUGUGAAUUGGUAGCAUCAAUAUUCAGAUCUUUAUCUAAUUCUUUGUUUAUUCCCAAUGUAGGUCUUUGUGUGUGACAUAUCCAAGAGAUAAAAACUGCACUUAGUUACACUUUUCAAAAAAAGUAGUAAAAGUCUUUAAAUGGUAACUUCCAUGCAUUGCAUCCUCCAAGAAAUCUACUCCUCUAUGGCAUUGCUAGUUCUUUUCAAUCCUGCAUUUAAGUCCUGCUGUUCACAAAAAUUUCUUCCAUAUAUUUGAAGACCAAAUUAUAAGUUGUAUGCAGUCCUUCCAAUGUGAUCACUGUAGUGCAAAACACUGAUUGCCAAAUGCCUGGACACUAACAAUCACCCUUCCUAUACGAAGAGUUGAAGAAGAUGCAGAUUGAAAAGUCAAGGGACUUACAAAGAAGACAGGAUCUAUUACAGUCCCUACAAAAGGCCACUAGAAUUGGUUUACAUAAUCAAGUAUACUAAUAUAGUCCCAUCUCUGCAACUUGAACAUACAAAAAAAAGAUAAAAAAAAUAACGUACAACUCUUCAUUUUCAACCCAUUCAGGAAAAAGAUAAGCUUGUCACGAAAACAAGCUUCAGGAAAAUGUAACGUAAUGACGCAAGUAAUAUAUCCAAUCCUCUAUGCAAAGGCAGUGAUUGAUACUUCAGAUCUCUUCCCACGAAUCCCCACAAAAUAGAGAACCUGCAGGUUCGGUGUGCACAAAGCCAAAUUCACGUCCCUUCCAUUAAAGCACAUUUACAAUAAUAUAAAGCCAGCAGAGAGGACGAGGGGUUGUCCCAAAGACCCAAUGAUUUACAAAUGAGGUUCCGAAACAAAGCGCAGCAGGACGCAAUCUGUAUAUCAAACUCAAAAUCAGUCUGCUGCACUACACGCUGGCACGGGCAGAAUCACCAGAGUUGUGCUUGACAACCGAGACCCUCCUUCACAAACUCCACAGCAAACUCCUACACCCAACCAACCAUUGCAUAAUCGUUCACACAUUCCACCUCCACCACUCUCCCGCCUCAAUCGCCUUCCUCGACUCACACCCAUGCUCCAAAACACAAAGUGCAACGCAGCACAAGUAUCCCUCGCCCAAAAAUCUGCAUCCUACAUCAUCAUUCUCUCCUUCUUGCACCGUCCCAACCGAGCGACGUGAAGCUCCUACCUGCAGGUUGUCCCGGUUACGGCCUUUACUCUACACCAGCCCUCCACAUCCACGGAUCCUUUCCUCCGACCCCUGCCUAGCCCCUUGCGUUUCGUCUCCAUCGUGCAAUAAGAUUAUACCCCAGGGACCGCUGCCUCCUCUACCCAUCUCUUCUCCUCGCGCUGGAGCUGGAUCUCUCGUGCUCAUGCAUGCCACCUGUGGUGGUGCUGGUGCAGCUCGUGCUGACAAUCGCUUGUCUUCCUCGUAUCCUGCCCAUCUCCGUGUCCCCCAUCGCCUCACUGCGGCGGCGGCUGUUGCUGAGGAGGAGGCAUCCCAGGCCGCGGCCCAUACAUCCCCGGGGGUGCACCGGGAGGAGGAGGCAUCCCGGGUCUUGGAGGUCCCUGCAUGCCGGGGGGCAUUCCAGGUCGUGGAGGACCCCCGGGCCCUCCCAUCCCUGGCGGAGGCCCGCGCAUCAUCGGAGGAGGACCCAUCGGCCGCUGUCCAUACGGACCUGCCAUCCCUGGUCCAGACAUCUGCGGAGGAGGUCCGGGAGGAGGCGGCAUUGGUCUUCCUCCAGGAGGACCUUGCCCGUAGCCUUGAGGAGGCCCUUGUCCGGGGGGCCCUUGCAUCAUCUGCCCUGGAGGCCGCAUCCCUGGAGGAGGUGCGCCUGGCGGCCCCGGCAUUGGGCGGGGAGCGAAUUGCCCUGGGGGUGGAGGCCCGAGAGGUCUCACUCCCGGCAUCGGACCGGACGGGGGUGUGUAAGUCACGGGAGCUGCCGAAACCUGAGGUCGCGGCUGCAUCAUCCCCGGGGCAGGCCCGCCCACUCCUCUCGCAGGCCCUGCCAGCCCUGGCUGAGCCUGGUUCAAAGGUGCAGUCGGGAUUCCACGCCCUGCGGCACGCCCCACCCCGGGACCUCCCGCGGCAGCUGCGGCUGCUUUCGCCCUGGACUCGUCCGGUGGCGGGGGCCCCUCCACCGUCAUCGAAAUCACCUCCUCCCCGCGCAAAAGCAGCAGCCCCAACGUCCUCCUCUCUUCCCUCUCCUCCUGAGUUUUCCCCUUCUUCGGCGGCACGCGUCGCAGCUCCUCGCAAUCACCCAGCACCAAGUUCAUGUGGCGAUCGAAUGCCAUGAACUUGCCAACCAGCUGCCGCCCGUCCUGUAUCGUCACCCGCAUACGCCAGUUUAUGUACAGUAACAACUUGGACGUCUUGGAUAUCGACAUCCUGACCGGAUUUUCUCCGCACCCUGCCUCGCGUAUUCUUCCCCACGCUCCCGCUGCCGACCUCCUCGAAGCACCCGAUCGCGACUCCGACCCGCCAACCCCUCCACUGCAAACGCCGGAAAGCCUCAAAACCCUAAUCAGCGGUUCCUCCAAUACAACCAACAAUGCCAGAAGACUCUGGCGCGGUCACGCCGCCACACAACGCAACCUCCAAGACAUCAAUCUACCGGGCAACCACGUUCAGGGGUCGCGCGACAGAAAGCGCCCAUGCUCCGACUUCGCACACCGCCAAACAGCGCUGCAGGCGCAAGCCGAAUUCAAGACGAGGUCCAGACCUAAACUGAGUGACCUGCUGGAGGCAGCCAUGACGACGACUAUGUUGGUGGUAUCAUCAGUCUCGGCAGUUUUAAGAGGGUCCUCGUCAGCUUGAACGAUACAUGAUUGCAUGGGGAUUUGUAGCUGCACACUGCAACGGGAAAUUCUCUGUUUCUAAUGUGUUCGACAAAUAUAGAUUCAGUUCUCACUGUAAUGGAACCUGGUCAAGAAGGAAUUUGUCAUUAAAAACAACGACAAGUUAGUAAAAGUUACUUCUCUCUCGACCUUUUUUUCUAAAUUUCUUGAAAUUUUCUUGAGUAGUUGCAAAAUUCACUUUGAUAUUUAUAAACGCUGUGAUUGCGAUACAAUCUUGUUAAAAUUACACAUUGUAUCGAAUACGAAAUUGACAUAAUUUUAUACAUACAUACUACUAUUACUUAAUUCAUAGUGAAAAUUACAUAUUUCAUUAAAGUUUCUUUUCUUUGUUUAAAGUUAAUUAUAAGGGGUAUGUUAGCAAAUUUUAGUAAUCACAUUUUUAUAAUCUAAUAAUGUAACUGAAGGACAACAUAAAUCUUCCAAAAGCCUGAACUUGGGAUGGACCUCAUCUGAAAAGGGAACGUGAGAGACUUUCCUGAACAUACUCGUCUCACCAAGUGGAGUGCACACCCACUUGUUCAUAAUUUCAUUCUUAAACAGUAGGAUCCUCCAGUUGAGAAUUAGACCUAAAUGAAAUGAAGGCUCAAAUUGGAUUAAUUUGGUAUCAUCGCACACAGAAUACUCGUCAAGGAUCCUGGCCAACGAUCAUCAAUUAAAAAUUGCUUGUUUAUAUUGCACAGGUCGCAAUCGAACACAGUGGGUCGUCACCAGAACCCCCCCAAAAUUGCUGUGGCUGUCCAAAGAAACGAAGCCACAACCAGCAUCCGCAGGUCUGCGUGGCAAAGCUCUCCCUGCCCACCCUGCCCACCCUGCUUCAAGCGCGGGAGCAUGGGAGAGCGCGGGGGGCGGGGGGAGAGCGCGGAGGCCGCCACAACAGCAAACAGGAGGAGCAGGAGGAGAAACGAGGGAGGGAGGGACAUUCGAUCGGGGAGGAGGAUUCGAGGAGGGAAAUCGGCGAACACAUUAGAAACAGAGAAUUUCCCGUUGCAGUGUGCAGCUACAAAUCCCCAUGCAAUCAUGUAUCGUUCAAGCUGACGAGGACCCUCUUAAAACUGCCGAGACUGAUGAUACCACCAACAUAGUCGUCGUCAUGGCUGCCUCCAGCAGGUCACUCAGUUUAGGUCUGGACCUCGUCUUGAAUUCGGCUUGCGCCUGCAGCGCUGUUUGGCGGUGUGCGAAGUCGGAGCAUGGGCGCUUUCUGUCGCGCGACCCCUGAACGUGGUUGCCCGGUAGAUUGAUGUCUUGGAGGUUGCGUUGUGUGGCGGCGUGACCGCGCCAGAGUCUUCUGGCAUUGUUGGUUGUAUUGGAGGAACCGCUGAUUAGGGUUUUGAGGCUUUCCGGCGUUUGCAGUGGAGGGGUUGGCGGGUCGGAGUCGCGAUCGGGUGCUUCGAGGAGGUCGGCAGCGGGAGCGUGGGGAAGAAUACGCGAGGCAGGGUGCGGAGAAAAUCCGGUCAGGAUGUCGAUAUCCAAGACGUCCAAGUUGUUACUGUACAUAAACUGGCGUAUGCGGGUGACGAUACAGGACGGGCGGCAGCUGGUUGGCAAGUUCAUGGCAUUCGAUCGCCACAUGAACUUGGUGCUGGGUGAUUGCGAGGAGCUGCGACGCGUGCCGCCGAAGAAGGGGAAAACUCAGGAGGAGAGGGAAGAGAGGAGGACGUUGGGGCUGCUGCUUUUGCGCGGGGAGGAGGUGAUUUCGAUGACGGUGGAGGGGCCCCCGCCACCGGACGAGUCCAGGGCGAAAGCAGCCGCAGCUGCCGCGGGAGGUCCCGGGGUGGGGCGUGCCGCAGGGCGUGGAAUCCCGACUGCACCUUUGAACCAGGCUCAGCCAGGGCUGGCAGGGCCUGCGAGAGGAGUGGGCGGGCCUGCCCCGGGGAUGAUGCAGCCGCGACCUCAGGUUUCGGCAGCUCCCGUGACUUACACACCCCCGCCCGGUCCGAUGCCGGGAGUGAGACCUCUCGGGCCUCCACCCCCAGGGCAAUUCGCUCCCCGCCCAAUGCCGGGGCCGCCAGGCGCACCUCCUCCAGGGAUGCGGCCUCCGGGGCAGAUGAUGCAAGGGCCCCCCGGACAAGGGCCUCCUCAAGGCUACGGGCAAGGUCCUCCUGGAGGAAGACCAAUGCCGCCUCCUCCCGGACCUCCUCCGCAGAUGUCUGGACCAGGGAUGGCAGGUCCGUAUGGACAGCGGCCGAUGGGUCCUCCUCCGAUGAUGCGCGGGCCUCCGCCAGGGAUGGGAGGGCCCGGGGGUCCUCCACGAC